rnacentral:lncRNA from 1 species
AUAAAAUUUGAAGGUGCACCUUACCUUUACAGGUACGGAUGCAUCUGUUUGCCAACUGCACCCUUGAUUUAAAGGAGAAGGCCUAUUUUGAAUGGCUUUCUCAGAGGGAUGGGAGGAGCUUGUUUGGUAUGGAUAUAUAAGUAGUACAAUGCUAAUGAUAAAUAUAAAUCAUGAUGCAUCGAUUAAGAACCAGGGGAAAGGUUUGUAUGCUUCCCCUAUCGAUUAAGAACCAGGGGAAAGGUUUGUAUGCUUCCCCUAUAGCAUAGAAGUUCUAUUCUCCUCCUAUCAUCCAGCCGUUCAAGUUUGACCAAGAGAGCCCACUCACCAUUUGAUCUUAGAUCUGAGGUCUCAAAGUAUCACUUUUAGUUUUUUUUAUAUAGAUUGUAUGAAUAUGAAAUUUGGUACGUGCCAUCUUUUCAUUAGGGUGCACUUAUAAAAAAUAUUAAAAAUAUUUUUUCGAUAAAAUAUAAUGACCACAAUACCUUUUGAAAAACUUUUAGGGGUAUUUUGGUCAUUUUAUUAUAUUGAAAAUAUUUUUUUUAUAUUUUUCGCUAGUACGAGUUUAAUAGAGAAAUGGACGUCCAAAAUUUGAUGUCAAAAUAGUUUAUAGAAAAAAAUUAAAAAUAAAAUAGUGUAGAGACGUGACAUUGUGAUUGGGACAAUCUUAGCUCUCCAUUCAAAAUGGAGGGUUGGAUAAAAGGGAGGAUAGAACUUCUAUGCUACAGGGGAAGCAUAGAAAGCUUGCCGUAAGAACUGAUGUAAACACUCUUGUUAGUUGAAACCAAACCCUUGACUCGCCAUCAAUGAGAGGUUGGUUAUAUAAUAUUUUAAUGUGUAAUCUGUUACAUUUAACAGCAUAAUUUCCAAAACAAUAGUUAAAUAAUUUUAAUGACACUAUGGAAUUUUAUGUUAACAAAAGUUAAAUCCUUUUAAUGACACUAUGGAAUUUUAUGCUAUAUGCUACGUGGGGAAAUACUUUUUUUUUGUUAGGUAGAUUCUGUAGAGAAUUCUGUAUGUUAAUAGAUUCCAAUCGGUUUCUUAGUGUUAUUAUUCAUUUAUCUUCACUAACGGAUUCAUUUAUCUUCAAUGCAGUGGAAGCACAAUCGUAGGAAUUGGUGAUCCCGAACCCCCCCAAUUCAUCUAUGAUGAAGAGGAUUACCAGGACGUUUUUGUAUCCGGUAAGCUCAUCCGAUCAUGCCUUCACCCGCAUCUUCCGAUCAAUUUGGCUGCCUAGACUUCACCCACAUCUUCCUUAUCUUAAGUGCUCAAUGAUGCCCCUGUGUGUGUGCAGAAGCACGCUUUCUUACUCGGCCAGAGAAGCAUUGGUACACCAAGCCCAUUUCUUAUACAGACGAAUGCUAUCAAGAAGGCGGCGAACACAAAAGGAAGAACUGAAUCCCACGUUGAAAGAAUGCAACACAUCAUUCACUUGGAGACCUUGAACUUGAUAUAAAAGAUCCCUUUGCAUGUUAGACUUUAGCCACUUGAAUGAUUCUCCAGGGGCUAAAAUCCUUUAGCAUGUUUGGUUCAUGUCUUUGCUUAUAGAAAACCCUUUUAAAAGUCUCAAUUUUAGACUGGAGAACCCAAACACAUGCAUCUUUUUGUUAGACAUGCAAUUCAUUCGUGAAGUCUACCCAUCUUACUGUUCUCUCCCUUGUAGAUGAUGUAAGGAAUUAAACAAGCUCAAACUUAACCAAAUGUUCCUUUUUUUCGGUUUGCCGAGGCACAAGUAGAACCUGGGCACAUGUUGUAGACAACAUGACGAACCCACCAUCCAUUCCGAAUGACGAACGGUGAUGAUCAAAAUCUUUCCAUCAAGAAUUUCAAUUAAUCUGCACCGUACUUCAUUGGGAAGGAAAGGCGGACACAGCCCCUGGUGCAUGGCAUGCUUACUCUCCCAAAUUCCCACUGAGCCUAAGAAAACAGAAUUAAAAAGAUCAGGAGAGAGGGGAUAAAACAACUGCUGAGACACAGAUUUCCCAAACUUGCUCACUCUGGAAAACAGAAACAUCAGCACCAGCACCAACAAACAAUAUAAUUGUCUUUUCUUUUUCAUCAAACACACUUUCCCUCCCCCAUUCUGCUUUCUAAAGUGAUGGUGAGCUCAAGAAAGGCCUAGGAAAGCUAAACAGGUCCUUUCCGGCAAAAGGAUUCGUCCACUCUCUUGUGGCCUCCACCGAAGCACCUGCACUAGGGGGCCCCAUGCCCCCAACUUCCUGCACCCCUGAUGGCCCUAGGCCCACGCUUGCUCUGAACCCGGUCUUCGUCCAAUCUGACCAUGAUAUGUCAUCACAAAGUUGGCUCCCCCAAUCCGAUGAUGAGCGAGAUCCCCUAUAAAAAGGCCCUAACGAGCCCAGUGACUGGGGGAAAGAAGGUGAACCAGCCAUGCUCCAAUCUAUGCUUGUAUAGUCGCACUCACCCAUCGAUCCCAUGCUCCAAUCCCCAUUCGAGUCAGGGUUUGAGCUCCCUAGAGCUGAGUUCCACCCAUUGAACCCACCUUGUGAGCCCAAAUCAAGACCCACCUGAUCGGUAGGACCGAGCCCACUUGUCCCCCAACUGCUGGAUCCUAUUGGCUCAACCGGGCUAAGUGUGUACGGUUGCUGAUACUGAGCUUGGUGAAACGGUCCACUCACAGGUCCUUGGUUUGCACUCAACCCGUUCAAGCUCACGCCCGAGCUCUUCUCGAGCCCAACCAUACCACUUGGUGUCCAUGCAGUUGCAGCUGGUGCAAGCCCACCUGACUGAGCCAAGUGGGAUUUAGGGUUCGUAGGAUGGGGUCGUUGCAUCACGAUCACUCGCUCCUUCAAAGCUAAUGCCUGAGCCAAGUUGGUCUUACUAGGCUCUGUGGGCUGGAGGAUCUUGGAGGGGUUAGUGGCUAAAGAGUAUGGCAAAGGUGGCCCUGAGCUCACGCUAGGCCAUGCACCCAUGUUAUUACCAUUGGCGACUGGCUUCUUCUCGACUGAACCCACUUGAGCCCUAGACCACUCUUGUGGUGGCUUUACUUGAACCACCCUCCUCAUGGGUUGAGGCUGAGAGCUUCUAGCACUAGGAUCAGGCAAUAUUGUUUUGGUAUAGUUGAAAUCUACCCGCUCAUCUCGUCUUUGAAUUGACACCGCUGGCACCCUAGCUUGUUGGCUUCUUGACUGGCUUACAGCAGGUUGCACAUGCCCUUGACCUGCUUGCUUUGAGGACUCCAUGGUGGACUCCGGCUUUUGCGGAGGCAUGGGUUCAAGUUGAGGUGUCGGCUUUUGCACCCUAAGUGUCUCAGCUGCCUUGUCAAGAUCACCUUCACAAGCCACAACAGCUCGCUCUACCUCUUGCCUUGAGCACCCGAACCUCGUUUCCAUAUCGGACAGUCGUGCUAGCUCUUCCGAUAUAUCAAUUUUUAAGCGAGACCCAUCUGCCUUUGUGGCCUCUUGACUCUCAACUUCACUACUACCCUCGAAGAGCCAAGCAACUGACUCCUCAACCCUCCCCUCAUUUAGGAUGAGGGCCAUGGUAGCUCGCUCGUGAGAGAAGCCCAUGGCCACAAGCUGCUGAGACAGGGCCUCGAGCCUCCUUGACAUCAGGUAGCCAGUGCACCUCUCAUGCAACUCUUGUGCCCUUCGUUCUCUCUGCCUUUGGUGCUUGCGCUCAUUCUUUUGCCUUAUUUUCUCUCUCUUCUCAUUCGAUGAACCAGGUGGUGCAUCAGGCCUAGAGGGUGGACCAUUGGGCUUGUUGCUGUUAUCCUUUUGGUGGUCCUCUGAUUCACCAGAGCAGCUGCUUGUCGAAUGGUCUUCAUACUCCGCUCCCGUGCACAGAGAGCUGGUGCCUGAGUGAUCGUCAGGGUCUUCAAUGGUUCGGAAUCGGGGGUUGUGCAUGGAGGAGUUGUGUGUCUGUGGAGGGGAAGAGGGGGAUUCAAGGGUAUGGAAGGUCCCGGAGAGGGGAUUGUACGCAUUGGAAUGGGGGCCUACACCGCCCACAGCGGUGCUGGGGGGAACUGGCUUGGGCAAGGCCUUGUGCUCCUUGGCUACCUUUGUGGACGGCUUGUCCUUGCUCUUCGAUCUUGAAGCUGGAGACAUGGCUGGAUGAACACUGAGUUUUCAAAUUUCAAGUUAUCUGUGCCUGCUGCAAAUAUAAAGGAGUUUGUUAGAGAACCUAUGAAGUGUACUGCACACUUGUGCAUGUGUAUAUGUAUGAGAGAGAGAGAGAGAGAAUGAGAGAGAGAUUAUCCUCGUACAAUCCCUAUGGGAAUUUCAAGAUUAUGCUCAUACAAUCCCUAUGGGAAUUUCAUGAGCAAGAAAGAGAGGUACUAUGUUAAUGCUCACACAAUCACUAUGGGGAUCUGAUACUUGAGGUGUAUUUACUAUGCCAUGCAAUAUCUAUGGAAAUCUAGAUCUGGAAGGGUGCAGAGUGAGGGUAAUGUUUAGAAACCCUAACUGAAGAAUGUGGGUGUCAGUGUGCCUAUUCAGUAGAGUGGCAUGCUUGAAAGCUCGAUGGAGGUCUUCCAAUGGAUAAGCAAUGAAAGAGCAAAAACUCUCUGCCUUGUACGUGUUGAAAAGAUAUUACCAGUUCCAAUACAUCAGGAUCAAACUUCAACACCCAUGGACUAACAUUCAAUUUUCUGACCAUUUGGCCAAUAAAUGGCUUAUAUAAUUCCUCCACCAAUUUAAACACGGACAAUCAACUAUUAAUACCCUGUGAUCCUCAACAAGUGUUCAUUUCAUAUAUAAUACCAACAGGCAAUUAAAUCAAGGGCAAAGCAAUCCCACCCAGAUUCCAAGCCCCCACAACAAUUGAGUAAUUAAUUACCUCAUCAACCUCUUUUGAUUUAGUCUCACUUAGCAAAAGAAAAUAGCAUCCACUUCUUACCAAGUGCGCUGUCAAAAAUAAAUAAAGUAGUUCAUCCACUUCUUACCAAGUGCGCUGUCAAAAAUAAAUACGGUAGUUCCCUCCCAUUCAUGGUUGGACUCUCCUUCCAAAUCCUCAAGCCUUCAGGCUGCCUUCCUUUCUCCAUCACAAUCUCAUUUCGAUCACAACACAGUUCAAACCAUCUCAUAUAUAGCUUUACAGGCCACACCAUUGCAAAAAACACCAAUCAGGCCUCCAGAUUCACGCGAUUGCUCAAAUCUCUUCUUGCAUGACAUGUAGCAUUUUCCCCAAAUUUGAACUAGAUGGACAAGGUCCAACACAAUCAUUUUACUGCUAUUUUAACCAGAUUCAAGCAUCAUGGUGGAGUCCAUGUAAAUCCUUCUAGAAAGCUUUCGCCAUGGAGGAUAUCCAUCACUCCACUGCUCAGUCAUGGUGGUUUUGGGGUGGAAACCUGAAACCAUAUAUGUGAAUCAUAUAUUUGAGGUAAAAGGAACAUGAGAUCACCUUCUACUUCAUUGUAGUAUCCAACAGCAAUCCACUCUAUUGUUCAAGAGGAUCUGGUGUCCUAUGGAUAAUGUAUAGUGCCAUGGCUAUCACCCAAUCUAGCAAACCAAGCUUGGCUUCGCAUUGGUCUUUCUUAUCCUUUAAAAGGCAAGCUCCCAAGCCAUGGUCUAGGGUACAAUCACAUAGAGGCAAUGAUAUUAUUAUUUAAGGCUAUAGCCGGAAGGCGCACCAAGUAUAAGAUAGUAUACAAGAAUCCACCAUAGCUUGAGCCGCAAUGCAAUUGAAUGUAAAAAAGCCGCAGUGCAAAUGAAUGUGAAAAAGUUUCACGAGUGAUUGAUUUACUAAUUGACAACAAAGCAAACACCUUCACUAGAUCCCACUUCUGAAAACUUCACAUUUGUCGGAUGCCUUUUAAAUAAUCUGAGUCCGAUAGAUGCAGAUCACGGUUGCUCAUACUUGAUUCCUUUUUUCUAGGUCCACUGGGUGUCUGUUAUCCCAUGACAGUAGAUGACGCAAGAGCUAGAGUGCUUGUUAGUAGUAGGCUUAGGCAUUGAUCCUUGAAUUCCGUUACCACUUUCAAGACCUAAUAUGAUUCUUCAGAAAUUAACAUGAUAAAGCACUCCAAGGGAAGGCUCCUUGGAAUGUGGCAGAAAAGAUUGAGGACUUUCAGUGAUUAUAUCAUGCACCUUGACUCUCCUCAUACCACAUGAUGGUAACAAGAUGGCCGACUCACUUCGUAAGGUGUGAGGAGGUGGACUUGAUGUAUACUUCAGUUUUAAAACUCUCAGAUGUUAACUCGAUGUAUUCCAAUUUUUAUUUCUAGUAUUUGGGGUUUCAUUAAAAAAAUGCUUCUCGAGACAUAUAAUUAUGUAGAAAGGACAAAACUACAAAAGGGACUGGAUGUCCCUGCCAAGUGCCCCUUAAGAACAUAUUCAUACAUUUGCUUCACAAAGGGAAAAUGCCAAGAAGGCCACACACAAUAUGGGAAAAAUACACUAUCCACCAGACCUCCACAGUCCAAGUCAGAAGAGAAGAGAAAUUUACUACCAAAAACCAAUGCAGCUACAGUAAUGAAUGAUGUGAGAGUCUCUUUUAUUUUUAUUUUUAUUUUUGGAAUAGUUGACUGUUUUUUUUUUUUGAUGAUUAAAGUGAUAACAUAAUGUUAGAGUUGACAAUUAAAGUGAAAAGAGAAUGUUAAAGAGUUAAAUUAACACUACAAUACUAUAACCACGGAUGGAAGGGAAAUCCCCAAUAGAAAUCAAGACAGUUGAUGCAUCUUCUCAGAACGACAGAAACAUCAACAAAUACACAAGGAGUAAAAGGAAACAGUAAAGGUAUCUUGAAAAUGGAUGGCAGGAGUUAACAGAAGUUCAAGCAAUCCCCAUGAAGGAAAGGAAAACUCAGUUAUUCUGCUUUAAAACACAGAGAUGAACAUAAGGCUCUCUUGAGAAGUGUUUUCAGAGAAAAUUGAACACUUAUAUAAAGCCAACAUAUUACCAAUAUGUUUAGUUAACAACCAAGUAAAAAAAAACACAUUAUAUAGAGAAUGUCUACCAUUAUUCAAUGGACUAAGAAAACUGUAGUUCAUUAAGGUCCCCAGUCCAAUGAAUUGAUAGAAAGCGUUAGACAAAGUGACAGAUAAUCAGGGUCAGGUACUAUUCUAGCAGAUCCUCCUUUCUCUCCAUCACCACUUAUCAGUUAAUCGGAUGGUGAUGAUCCAAACUGAACAUAGUUUUCAUAAUCCAAUGGAGUAAAAUGUACUUUACCUUUACCAGUAAUCACUUAUAUGAAGUAACUGCUAGCCCAAAUAUAUUGGCACAAACCAGGAAACCAUCUUCGCACCAAAUAGAACUGGAUUCAGCACCAAUGUAAUGUACUCAUGUAUUGUUGACCAAAACAUUUUCAGAAAAAAAAAAAAAGGACAGAUUUUGACAACUAAAAAAUUGUGCAGAUUGAUGGAAAAAACCCAUGACAUGUUCGAAGGGAAAUAAAAAGACAAACCAACAGAAACCAAAAAUGUGUCACAGACUACAGGUAACAUUAAAUAGUAACCAUGUCCUUCGUGGGGUAUAGAAAUGGAUAAAAUUCACUGAUGACCUAGAACUUGAUCAUCUUGGUCGCUUAUUGCCCGCUACAAAACAAUACAGGACUCUUAUCUCAUUACAUGAAAUAUAGCAUCAAAGUAAAUUUAAGCAAUAACCAGAGUCAAAACAUAGGUCAGAUGCCAGUGAAGGAGACUUGACCAAGCCCAUCCAAAUACGGGCAUAAUGUUCUCCAAGAUAUUAUUAACAUCCUUUAAAAUCUUAAACUGAAGUUUCAAUUUUAUCAAUAGAUGCAAAAUUUAAGAAUGCAUAAAUUAAAAAGACGGGCUCAAAAAUCUCAAAUUUGAAAUAAAUCUGUGAUUAUAAAAGGUGAUGGAAUUGGAGACAUAUUGCGCAUCAUUUAAUACAAAGAAUGCCGCAUCAUGAUAACAAAUACAAAUGGAAUGGAAACAAUGAUCUUUAAACAAGAUUUAUCUAGCAUAAUGCAAUAACAAGUUACUAACAAGGAUUCACUAGCUUCCAUUAAACUGAAUCACAUCAAGAUAUCUCACUAUUUCUUGUUUCAGAUGGAUCUCAAAAUCAUAGGAGUCUAAUCUGAAUGUGUAACCUACGGCACAGCUGAAUUGUAAGUUAAUAACGCAGAGAGGUAUCAAUUACUCAUUGAAAGCCUAAAUUUACACUCAAUUUAAACAGAAAACAAACAAUUACAACUAUAGAAGCAGUUUAUCUGUAUAUUCAGUUUGAAAUGAUAAAUUAUCUGUGAAAAUAUUCACACUACUACCCUCUGCAUCUGCACGUUUUAAGCAAAUUCCAUCUUUCUUUUGGACUCCUAACACUAUAUGAGUGAAAUUUUCCAAAUUUCCAGAAAAUAAUGCCAUCAUUCAAUCAACUAACUUCCCUUCACAUCAUAAAAUAGCGCAAUGCAAGAGUAAUUCUCCAAAUGGCACCUAAAACCAACAAAACUAGAUCUCAUUCAAUGCAUCCCACACCCUCCCAAAACCAGUCUCAAUAAACCAACAAAACAUACAGGCAUCCACAAGAAUCACACAUUCCCCCGAUACGAUCAUUUUGGUAACCCUUAUAAACGCUCAUAACAAAUAAAUAUGCAAUCCUAAAUCAAAACCCCAAAAAACAACCCUAGAAAACUCUAAAAGAAACCUCGGCAAACCCCUGAAGAAUUGUUCUUCUAGUAUUGAUAGAUCAAGAUUCAUAAAAAACCCUAGGACGGAUCAGUGGGCGCAUAGAAAGACAAAGCACGGUAAACACCAAGAGGGCAUCGAAACCCUAAUCAAACGGGGAACAAGAAAGCUUCGAAGGAGAAAGGGACAUUGAAACAGAUCUGACAUGGCCAUGGAAGAAGGGACAACUGACCUGUUUGUUGAGAGACGACGAUCUUUUUAGGGUUUCCUCGAUGGCGAUCCUAAACGAAGGGCUUUAAUUUGCAGAAAAGAUUAAAAAUCGAUGAAUGCGUACCGUAUAUAUAUGCCCCCUUUCUCUCCUUUCCUUACAUAUGAUGCGCCACGCCUGUCUCUUUCUCUCUCUAUAUCUACGCACUUUCUCUCUCUACGUGUUCCUCUCCCACUUCUUUCCCUCUCUCCUUUGCACUAUCUUCGUUUUCUCUCGCUAGGCGUGACAUUGGGUUAUUCAGAAUCGGAUUUAAGAGAUACUUGAGGUCCGAUUAUUUAAAUAUAAAUAAUAAAGGUCUUCUGAGUUCAAGAGCCCUUUUCCUACGUUGCUAUUAAGACCAAAGUGGAAAAACUUCGUAAUCCGGAUUGGAACUCGUCGAUUUAAACUAAAAAUAUAUUGAAAAGAUUCGGAUUGGGUAAAAUAUAAGGAGUUGGCCAGUUCCGGCUUAUAUGUACCGAUUCUUUGAUAAGUUCCUGACAGACUUGGUUGAUUCUGUCAUAGAAUUGAUAUGAAUUGACUCCGUUUUUUUUUUUAUUAAUUAUUGAAUUGGGAGUUUCUUGUCGGUUCUAGCCAGUUUUGGUCGUUUCUUUUAUAGAAAGUUCUGUCAGAUAACCGGUCAAAUUGGUCCUAUAUAAUUUUUUAAAACAAAAAUGUAUCGCUCCUCUACCGAACCCCAUACUUAUUUAUCUAUAGACCUUCAUCUUUGAAUUUCUAAAAAUACAUGCUCUCUUUAAGUUAAGCCAAUCUAUCACCUCUCUCCUACAUAAAUAUCUUUUAAUAAACAAUAUACUUUAGAACAUCUAUUUUCCUUUUCUCUCUUUCUAAAUAAAGCAUAUAAUACUUUUCAUUAUCUCUAGACUAUUGUUCGCAAAAUCGCCCGAUCUAAUCGAUAACCAUCCGGUUAGAUCGGAAACGGUGAGUGGCUGGCUCCAGUUUGGGCGGUUAGGGUGAACAACCAAUAUUUAAAAAAAGUAAAAUUCAAAAAAAUUUAUAUAAAUUCUCAAAAAUAAGGAAUUUGAUUUAUAAUGAUUUUUUUAAUAUUCUUUACAUUAUGGUAAGGAUUAAAAUUUAUUUUGGUCAUUAAUGCUCACUUUUAUAUUUUUCCAAUCUUUUUUAGAAAACUUUAAAAAUAACCAUUGGAAAAUAUAAAAUAACUUAAAAUUUAUUUUUUCCAUUAAUUUUCAACUUCAUUUGAAUGUGCUUUGUUUUAACCAUUUUUUUUAUGUUUUUCAUAUUUUAGUAGAUUUUUUUUUUUUUCAAUAUUUUUUUGACCAUCCGGGACUUGUCCAGUUAAAGCGGUUAAAUGUUUAGUAAUGUUAUGCGUAUAUUAUUAAAUGUUUAAUAAUAAAACUUGCCUUCUAUUUAUCUACACACAGACCCGACCCAACCGAACAAUUCGGGUCCCUAUCCAACUGGACCCAAUUGGAUCAGAUCCUGGUACGCGUUCAAUCGAGUGUCGACCCAUCCAAUUUAGACCCCUACCUUAGAAUCAGCAGUGUUUCAACCAAGGAACCCUGUAACCAAACAGUUCAUAACAUUGCUCUUAUCAAUUAUUUUAUAAUGUGACAUUUUUUAUUCACGCAACAAGUGUCCUUUUAACUUCGUUUUUAAUUGUCAUUUGCCCUCUUGGUUUGGGUAGUAUCAUAAAAUUUUUACAUGUAUUUAGUUUCUUUUAAAAAUUUUUUUUAUUAAGAACGUUUUCUCUUGAGAUGUAAAUCCAAUUUACACAUAACUAUUAUUUCAUUAUAUAUAUAUAUAGAGAGAGAGAAGAUCCUGUCAGCCCAACUGCUACAGUAAACACCAACAGCCCAGAUCGAGCCUGGACCGAUCUGAUGAUCCCGAAUGUCUGGUAGUGUAUGAAUUUUAAUAUUUUUUUUUUAUAAAUCAGAUUGAUUUGAAAUUUGGAGCGUGCGUACAUAAAAAAUAGAUGAAUCUUUGAAAAAUAUAAAACAAAUAUUUUAUAUGAAAAAAACUUACCAAAAUACCUUUGUAAAGUUUUGGAGGUAUUUUGGUCAAUUUAUUUUUUAAGGAUUAUUGUUUUUUUAUUUUUAUUAGGUGCGUCUUGAUGAGAAGAAUAUACACCUAGAUUUUCAAGUGAUUUGAAUUUAUCAAAAAAAAAAUUAAAAUUCAAACACGAAAAGAAGUCGCGACCGUCAAAUCGACCCAGAUUCAAUCUGAGCCAUUGACGUUUACUGUAGCGAUCAGCUAGUGGACGUACAAAUUCCACUCUCAUAUAUAUAUAUAUAAAAGAAAAUGCUCGAGUACGCCCAUUUGAGUAUAGGUCUGGGGUACACCCCAUGGUGUAGAUUUAAAGAGGUGAAAUGGAUGGUUGAGAGAGCGUCCCAUGGCAUUCAAAAAAAAAAAAAAUUUCCUAACUGACUGUCAAAAAGGUACGCCUAUGGGCACUGACAAAAGGGUACACCUAUGGCCUAUCGCUUCGUUCUCUCUCUAUCUUUGUUGAUGAGCCAGGGCUCUCUCUCUCUAUCUUUCCUGAUGAACCAGGGCUUCGCUAAUGAACCAAGACUCUCUCUCUCUCUAUCUGUGCUGAUGGACCAGGGCUCUCUCUCUCUAUCCUCUGAUGAACCAUGGCUCUCUCUCUGUAUCUUCACUGAUGAACCAGAGCUCUCUCUCUCUAUUCUCGCUGAUGAACUAGGGCUCUCUCUCUCUAUCUUCACUGAUGAACCAGGGCUCUUUUUCUCUCUCUAACUUGGCUGAAGCACCGGGGCUCUCUCUCUGUUUUUGCUGGUGAACCAGGGCUCUCUCUCUGUUUUCAGCAGCCCCGUUAUCAAUCUCUCUCUAAUUCAAAACAUAGGGAAGCUAUCUCUCUACAGAUGACCAUUUUCCUACCUCCUCGCAUCCUCUCUCUCUCUCUCUCACGCCCAUUUGCGCAACGCCCUCUCAGGCAUCCUCUCUCUCUCACGUGAAUGCCACGGGUGGAGUGGCUCCUCCUCGCAUCCUCUCUCUCACGCCAUUUUCCAUAGAUGCAGUCCUCUCACUAUCUACAGAAGACCAUUCCACAAGUACAUUUUCCACCUCUGUUUUAGCCAUUUAGGAUUCGGAGAGGACCCAUUAAACAUUUCACAGUUUAGGAUAACCAAUUUUUCUGGUUUUUUUUUGUUGAGUUUCUCUCUGAAGAGUAGGAGUACCAAAUUUUUUUGGUUUUUUUCGUUGAGUUUUUCUAUCCAAUGUUGAUUGGGGUGGUAGCAUGAAGACCAUUUUAACAGUCUUGUGCACGAAUUCUGCCCUGUGUUAAAGACACACUAGUUCAAUAUGUGGUUUUAAUUAGAGAACUCAUUGAUUCAUGGCUUCUUGGUAGUGUAGUAACUCUGGGUUGCCACGACCUCUAUUAGGAUGAGGCAAAAUCCUAAAGUAGGGUUUCUCCUUUUACUGUAUUUUUAUUUCCAUGGUUCCACUUAUUGACUGGUUUAAUUAUUUUGCUUGUGUAGAUGAAGUCAAUAAAUAUUUUCAUAUUUAGGUUUGUAUUUGCAAUUUGUCAUGAUCUUUGCAUUUUUAAUAUACUCUGUUCAUUGAGAUAUUUGCAAUAUGUUAAGAUGUGCUUGAAGUACAUAGUUAUUUAGUCAUUCACAAUGUGAUUCUAAUGCAAUUGUUGUAGGCCAUACCAAUGUCAUCUCAUUCUACAAGUAAUCUAGGAUAUACAACUCGACAAUGCCCUAAAUGUAGUAUAGAUUGUGCUACGAAAUCAUCGACAAGCCAAAAAAAACCCAGUAGGAUGUACUAUAAGUGUCCAUUAUGUAGUUUCUUCCAAUGGCAUGAUGAAUAUAUUACCGCCGUGUAAAAUGUCAAUAUAAGGCAUCGCAAUACACAACAGUGGAAUCCAAUGAAUGAAUUAGAAGAACGUGUAUUGGUCAAACAAGAAAGAAGUGUUGAUCAUAAUGCGAUAAUCAGUACUAUAGGGUGUUUGCAAGAAUUCUUACUUGGUGCCUUUGGGUGUUUGCAAUAAUUUUUAUAUUUUUUGUGUAUAAUAAAUAUGUGCUUGCUUGUGCUCAUUUUUUAAAAUUUUGUAGUUUUUAUUGCGAAACAUGUGAUAAUUUUUUGAUAUUACCUUUUUACUAAGGUAAUUAUUCCUAUUGUAGAAUUCAAGUCGUCUUAAAUGCUUUGACUUUUUCAAUAUCCAUACAAGUCUCUCUCUCUUGUGUUAGAAUUUUCUUGUUGGGCAAGAACCUGAAAGGUAUGCAUGUAAUACUUUUGACUUCAUGGUGAACAAGUCUCUCUCUCUUAGUGUUGAGUUUCCUUUCUUUGAAAACAUAAUAAUGAAACUAAUAACACGAGGAAGUGUAAAUUCCUAAUUUGAACUACAUUUUCUAACAGGGAUUGCAGGUUGAAUGUUUAAGGUUCAUGUAUCGUAUAGACCUUGCCAAUUAUAAACUAUUUGGCUUGUAAUUUUGGAAGAAUGCAAGUCUCAACAAGGCCAUCCAAAUAAAGAUAAAAAGGUAUGUAAUAUCCAAAUUGGUUAAAAAUAAUUUACAUUUAAUCUUUAUGUAUUUUUCAGUCCAUAAGCUCCUAAUUCAACAUGGGUCGUUCUAUAGCCUUUUGGUUAAAAAAAGUUACUCCCACAAAUGAAUAUAAUAAGUGUGUGUGUAGCAUGCUCUAUCAAGAUCAUUGUACUUAUACUCCGCCAAGCAAAAAACCUUGUAUGAAAUAAAUGACUUUGAUUAUAAUAUGUUACUUAUCAAAAGUAACCAGGCUGGGAUGCAAAUGCUGAAGUGAAUAUUUUGAAACGAUAAAAUAGAACAAAUUGAUUGUAAACCAAAAUCCAUGCAUAUUAACAAACAACCCUCUGACUGUUUUGAAACCUCCCGUAGCGUAAAAAACUCCAAGAAAUAAAAGCAAUAAAAGAAUAAAAAUAGAAGGAAAAAAAGAAAAAGAAAAAAACCAUCAAAGAAGAAAGACAAAAAGUCAAACCUAUGAGGACAAACUUAGAAAUACCUCCCUGCUGCCACAACACAAAUCCACAGGGAUUUACAUAAGUCCAAAACAAAUCCAGUCAAAAUAACCAGCCCCCAAACAAUAACUGAUAAAAUGCUGCAGCACAAUGUGCAAAAGCAAUCCAGAAAUCUCAAGGAGCAUCAAACAAUACCAUUUUGUGCCCCCAUUAUUGCAUCCACUAAGAGCAUCACAUAGAACCUAAUGGCAAACAAUUUCAACAAGAACUGAGCAAAUACUCAUAAAAGCAAGCCUCCCAAAACAAACCGAACCAUACCAAGGAGAAAUUACAGAAAGUCCAUUUAAAAUGUCGAUUGCAUUGUACAAAAGAUCCUGCCACAAUCUACUGCAUCAAUCCAAAAACAGAAAUUCUUUUCCAUAAACCCAUUGUUUAGGGUGCUGAGUCCGGCACCAUAAGUUACAAAUUUGCAUACCCUUCACCAAUCAAAAGAAAGAACAAAUUCUCAAUGAAACAUCAAUUCAUCAACGAAUUGCAUAAUUGUUCGCACACGCUUGCACACACAUAUAUAUUAUAUAAAGUUCAUUGUAUAUACAAGCAAUUGGCCCUAAACACACAUUCACUAAUACUUAGAAAUAAUCAUCGCUUUACAAGUCCUGAAAAAACAAGCUCAAUGCUUGCUUGAUUUAGUGAGCUGUACUUAUAUGUUGUAUAGAUAUUUUCUACUCCAAAGUAGCAUGGAAACCCCUAAAACAAGAAAAACAAUGAAAUCAGUUGUGAAUAGGAAAAGAACAAAGUGAAAAUUUUUUUAAAAAUUAACAUGGAUAAAUGAAUGAGGCCAUGCUAUUGUUCGCUAGAUCCGGAAUGAUUGUCAGAUUAAUAUAGCCUAAUAUCAAAUUUUAGGAGAUACUCACUACCCAAGUGAAGCAAGCAUAUAUUUCCUUGGCGGCGAUGCCUCAGUAAUACAUAGUCUAGUUAAAGGGUACAAUUCCUGCACUAGAUCAACAAGUGUUUGUUACCUAAUUGCUACAAACUCAUUAACCAUGCCAUCCACUAUGAAAAAAACUAUACUCUGGUGAUGAUAUGAACAGCCACCAAAUUGAUGCAAUUUCAUAUAUAAGGAAUGCUAUCACAAAAGAAAUAAGUGAUUGCAACAAAAGAAAUGCAAUCUGUUGAGAGAAUCAUCUAAUACAAUAUUCUUCCAAAUUUUAAAUAGGCUUAAUUCCACCAAGAAAUUAAAAUAUAAAAUAAAAAAAGAUACGCUUAAAUUGAUAAAUAGGUUUACUGAUUAGAAACCCAUUGCUUAGGGUGUUGAGUAUAUCUCAAACACACAAGCAGGAAAAUUUGAAUGCAAUAAAAUUUCUUACAAUGCAAAUUCAUUGCAACAAAUACUUGUUUACUAAUUACAAUGCAAAGGACUAAAAUUUCUUACCAUUGCUCAUCGUGUUCCACAUUCUCACUUGACCCAUCCGUGCAUCUUAUAUUGACAUUUAACCUAAACGAAGGAAACCCAUUUCAAAUAUUUUUAAUUAAGGAAUUCAUAUUAUCAUCACAAAAAGUAUGAAAGAUGGAGCAAUAGUUCAUUCAUGCUUUAAACGUGCAACAGUUGUACAAUUCCUUCUGUCAUGUCCACUUCCUUUGCAAACUGCGCACUUUUGGGUAACUUCAUUCUCUUUCGCUUUUACUUUCGCUUUCUCUGCCUCUAUCUCAGCCCGGUGUACAUAUCUAUCAUUAGCUGGUUUCCCCUUUGUUAGUGCCUGGGAGGGGCUCACGGAUGUUAUGGCAUGCAUGUCUUCCAACCUCAGCGUGGUUGUUACUGUCGGCAUUCAUAUUCUCAGUACGACUGCUGCAAGGGGUCUUAAUAGCACUAGGUGGUAAUACCACACGCCCAAACUUGUAUUUAUCCUUUGCAACUGUACUUGCUAUCUCAGACAUUAUAAAUGCAUGAACUUCUACACUUUCUAAAGCACGCUCUGCUGGUACUCUAGUGGCUUGACAAACCUCAUUAAAACGAAUGGAACGGGAUAGAUCAGAAGUACCUUGAAUUUGUUUCCCUUUCGCAUCAAGUACAACACCUUGCAUCACAUUUUUCAUCCACCUCUUCAUUAUGUAAUGCGAUGGGAUUGCAAAAAUAUUUCUCACCAUCAACACCCUAAUCCCAUGCCUACAAAUGAUGUCUAGCCUCUCAUAUAUGUGGCAGGUACAAGAAAAAGUUUGUUCGUGACUAUUGAAUUCUAUAAUGCAUGCCCAUGGUCCAGUUCCACGUUUUGAUACCUUGAAGGUUGUAACAAUGUCAUUCCCUUCAAUAAUUAAUUGACGCAUUCUGCAACUUCAUAACUUUGUGUAUAUAUCUUCGAAGUGUGAGCCUCGAUGUCCCAUGUGGUCCUCAAAGAAGGCGUAGAUAUGAUGUUAUUUAAGUCAUUUUCUCUUCUUAAGAAGUUUUUUAUUAUGCAAUUUUAGAGUAGUUUCCAACAAUGUGCACAAGCUUGUAUUGAAAGUUAGAUAAUUUUUGAAGUGCUUAUCAUUUCUUCACUUCUCUGAGUCGAUGACAUACCGGUUGUGAAUGAAUCUGCCACAUAUGCAUCAAUCCACUGCUCUCGACAUCUGUAAAAUCUAUUGAGCCAUUCAUUCUGUUGAAGAUCAUAUUUCUCAAUUAGAGAUACCCAUACUGACUCAAAUUCUUCCUUAGUUUCAUUCAUUAUACAGUUCCUGAAGCGGUCUAGAAAAGAUGGACUCCUUCGCAAGAUAUGGCACAAUUUUUCUUUGACCUUUGAAAGUAUGUGCCACUUACAAUAAUGAUAUCUGGUUUUAUUCAUAACUUGUCUCACUACAGCGGUCAUUGUAGGAUCCUGAUCGGUGAUAAUGACUCCCGGUAGAUGUCUUCCCAUUGCCUCAAGCCAAUUUUCAAAUACCCCUACAAAGGACUCCACAUUCUCAUCAAAUAUGAGUGCAAACAAAAAAUGUUGCGCUAAGGUGGUGAUUCACUCCAAGUAUGAGAGAAAAGGGCAUGCAAAAGAGUUUGUCUUAUAUGUCGUAUCAAAAGUGACCAGAUCCAAGAAGUGGUUGUAGAACACCCUUGACAUGACAUCUACCCAUAAUAGGCUGACAAUAUGAUUUUCUUCAUCAAAUUUCACCUUACAGAAAAAAGAUCGAUUCGAUCUUUUCAUAUCGAUUAACCAUUCCAUAGCAUGGUUCCCAUCUUCCCCUUUGAAUUUUCAUCUCUUAUUUCCUAAUUGGUUUUUGAUAUCUUUUUGUGAGCAACGCAUAUUAUCAAUCCCUCCAGCCUGCUCUAAAAAGAUAUCAUAGAUAUUCCAACACUUUACCAAAGCAAAGCUCAUGAAGUUUAUCAUUGUCUUUGUCGCAUCCGAUAUUGUUCGAUGCGAUCAGAUGAGUCGAGCUUUCCUUGGAGAUACAAGGUCGUGAUUGUGAUCCUUAGCGAACUUUGUGACAUCACACUCAUUGUUGGCAUUUAUGCUUACACACAUCUUCGCUGCAUAUCCACACCUUGACUGAGGGAUUUUUUUGUAGGUAACACUUCUUUCACCCUACGGAAUCCUUCCUUGGGACAUAUAAAUUCCCAGCAAUUCUCUUUCCGUCCUUAUUAUUGUGAGAACUUCCCUUUCUGACACCAAACCCAUGCACCAAUGCAAAAGCCUAGUAAAACUCAAAUGCAUUAUUUUUAGAACCAAAUUUCAUUCCUAUGUAUGGUUCCUCUAUUUCUGCCCCCUUGGAUGACAACGCAUGUUCCCUGUUUUCAGGAUUUGUGAACUUAUUGGGGGGUGGGUUGCAACCCACGGAUCUUGCUCCAUGGGCUCUAUAGUAUCCCCCAUGUUAUCAUCCUUUGACCAUGUGGGGGAUGCCACACUUUCUGAAAUGGUGAGGUCCAUCUCAAGUACUAAAAUUACCCAUUUUAUUUGUCAAUUAAUGACUUCAACACUUCACAACUAGAGAAUUAGUUGUGCCCAUGAAAUUGCAAAGAUAUGGUUAAUAGCAUUAGUCAAUGCAAAAGUGUUGGCAAGAUUAGCCUCAAUCGAGGAGGUACAACAUUCCUAGAAGUUAGAAGUGGUGAACCCAGACACAACUUGAGGCUUUCUUAAAUCCCUUAAGCAAGUUAACAUGUUCAUCUGACAGAGUAAAAUAAAUAGGAUUUCAAGAAGACGUAAAGGAUAGCCAAGUAAUAAGGAGGCCAAUCUCGCUAGGUGCAGUCAUUUAAAAUUUGGCAGAUUACAGGUCCACAACUAUCGUGUUGCUCACUUGAUACUGGAUAUUGAAGUUAAGAGACUUAUCAAAAUAACAAAAAUAAACAAUCUAGACAUGAGGCUAUAGAGAGCCUACCAUAAGGCUUCCAAAGGCAUGAGGUUGGAGCUUCCAUUUCAGGUUCACAAAAGUGAUUAUCAAAGCUAGAAAACCCAAUUUGAAAUCUGACAUACUAGAAUGUUUGGGAUCUUCUUUAUGAAAAAUAAAUGGUCUCUUUUGUAUACUUUUCCAUAUUAUAAUCCAUAUGUGAACAUGGAAAUCAUAUAGUAACAGGAGCCAUCACCAUCGUUCAAUAAAUUGGACAGUGAUGGAGGGAGACUGGGUCUUAAUGGCGAUAACCCUUGCGAUCAUAUUGUUGCGAUGAUCACAUGGAUCAUAGUAUAAUUCUCUGUUUGUCCUAAAGAAUUAUUGACCUAAAGGAUUUUGAACGACACAAAUUAGGCGAAUUAAGGAGAUAGAGAGACAAUAGGGAGAGAAAAUACCUGAAAUUUCAAAAAAACAAAAGAAUUGAGGACCAAUUUUAGAAUAAGAGAGAGAGUAAUCAUAGUGGGCAAGACAAUCGUGAGCAAGUGGAGAGAAAGGGGAAACUAUUAACUAUUAAGUAACUUAAUAAAAGAGUGUGAAGCAUGAGAGCUUAAAUAUUUGGGAAUGAGGAGAAAGGAAACCCUUGCAGGUUAGAGAGAGAAAGUGGAAAAACAAAUAUCAAUUAUCAAAAAAAUAAGAAUGAAAACAAUUGAAUCAACACAUUCAUUAAUAACCUAUAAAUAUUAUUCAGAAAUGAGAAAAUGAUUUAUACAUGCUUUAUUAUUUCUCAUUCAUGGUAAAAUACAAACCCCCCCCCCGAAAAAGAAUUACAUAUGUUUAACACAAGGCAGAAUUCAUGCACAAGACUCUGUUAAAAAUGGCCUUGAUGCUACCACCCCAAUCAACAUUGAAUAGAAAAACUCAACAAAAAAAAACCAGAAAAAUUGGGUACUCUUACUCUUCAUAGAGAAACUCAACAAAAAAACCUAGAAAAAUUGGUUACUCCUAACCUGUGAAAUGUUUAAUAGGUCAUCUCUGAACCUUAAAUGGCUAAAAUAGAGAAGGAAAAUGUACUUGUGGAAUCGUCUUCUGUAGAUAGCAAGAGGCCUGCAUCUAUGGAAAAUGACGUGAGUGAGAGUAUGUGAGGAGGAACCACUCCACCUGUGGAGUUCGUGUGAGAGAGAGAGGAUGCGAGAGAGGGCGUUGCACGAAUGGGCAUGAGAGAGAGAGAGGAUGCGAGGAGGUAGGAAAAUGGCCUUCUGUAGAGAGAGAGCUUCCAUGUGUUUUGAAUUAGAGAGAGAUUCAUAACGGGGCUGUUGAAAACAGAGAGAGAGCCCUGGUUCACCAACGAAAAGAGAGAGAGAGAGAGAGCUCUGGCUUAUCAGUGAAGUUAGAGAGAGCGAGAGAGAGAGAGCUUUGGUUCAUUAGCGAAGAUAGAGAGAGAGAGCCACGGUUCAUCAGUGAGAAAAUAGAGAGAGAGCCUUGGUUCAUCAGCGAAGAUAGAGAAAGAGAGUCAUGGUUCAUCAGUGACGAUAGAGAGAGAACCCUGGUUCAUCAGUGAAGCCCUGAUUCAUUAGCGAAGAUAGAGAGAGAAUGAAGACGUAGCCCAUAAGUGUACCUUUUUUGCAGUGCCCAUAGGUGUACCUUUUGGCAGUCAUUCAAGGGAAAAAAAGAAUUUUUUGAAUGCCGUGGGAUGCUUGCUCAACUAUCCGUUUUACCUCUUUAAAUCUACAUCGUCGAGAGUACCGUAGACCUAUACACGAAUGGGCAUACUCGUGCAUUUUCCAUAUAAGCGCACCUCAGACCUAUAACUAUUCAUUUUCGCUUAUAGGCAUUGGGAAAACUUUUUCUAUUAUUUACGAUGAAAAUCUGACAGAUCUUCCGAUGAAGAUCUCUCGAAUGUUAACACUUUAAACUAAUAAAAUAGAUGUAAAUAAAGUAGUAGAGAAAGUAGGACAGAUUGAAUUCAGAUUUGAGGCCAGAUUUACCUGGNNNNNNNNNNNNNNNNNNNNNNNNNACAAGUUAACAGAUCAAAAAUAAAUGAAAGAAGGAAAACAGUAAAAAGGAAGAAGAAAGAGAUAUGAAGGAAUAAUACCAAAUCGGGCCGGAUGGCCCGAGAUACCCGAGCCUUCGAGGACUCGCCCAUAUCAGAACUGGUCCUAUUUGCCUCUCUAAUUCGGAUGUUGACCAGCAGAACUUCAAAUAGGGUGUCUAUCUUCCAAAGGAUUUUCAAUCUAGAGAUUUUUCUAAAGCUGUCGGUCUUUCUAGGGGCCUGGAGGAGAAUUUCCUUAGUUUUAUGAGGGUUUUGUGAUCUCUAGAGGUUGAAUAUGAAUUAUGAAAUUUUAUCUAAUUUUUUGGGGAUUUUCCCUAAAUUUUUAGGAAUUUUAUAAGGGUUUUUCAUAUUUUUUGUAUUUUUGGGUAAUUUUCCUAAUUUCGGGAAUUUUUAAGGUUUUUUUGGUUUGUUUUUCUCUCUCUUUUUGGGUAAGGAAGAAGGGGUAUUUAUAAGAUUCAAUUGGUGAUUAUUCCUAAUUUUUUAGAGUUUUUUUCAAAAAAAUUUGGAUUUAUAUUGAAGUUUUAGCCUUCUAUAAUUAAAGAAAACACUCUUACUGUGUCAUCAGAUGUGUUGACUACAUCAUCAGCCCGCCUUUGGGCCUGUCGGGACCGUUACAGCUUGGCCCGCGGCACGACAGUUGGGUCUCACGGGGACUAAAUUAUCAUUUAUUAUAUCUUUUUAUCCAUAGGUCCGAUUCAAGCAAUUCUUGAACCGUUUGAAAGCUCUUGGGCGCUACUUCAAAUUGGGAUAGGAUUUAGGUAGUUUUGGGGUAAUGAAAUUGGGUCUACUAGCAUAAUGUGGCCCUAAGGGUUUAGAAAAUCAUAGAAUUUGCCAGAUUUAAAAUGGGGUGUCUAUAGUUGCCCCUCUUGGCACUCUCUAUCCUUUGAGGGACAGGUGAGUAACAAAGAAGUAGACACUUUGGCGUUAUCUGUCAUUUGAGGGGUAGGUGAACGUCAAAGAUAAAACAGACAUUUUAAAUUUCUUCAUGAGGUCACGUAGUCAGGGGGGCACACCAACUAUCCCUCCAAGUCAUUAGGCUCACCGAGCUCACCCACCUAGGGCAUUUUUCCUCCUUAGGUUUUCAGCGUGAGAUGUCGGUGAGUUAUAAAAACUUGAAACUGGAGUUGGGAUUUUCUAGCCAUAUCACUUAACUUCAGAGGUUUUUGUAAUUUGAAUUUUUAACCUUGGCAUUUUCUUUGAUCUCCUUAGGUUUCUUAAGGUUGUCUAUAGGAAAAGGCUUUCUAUAGGAAAAGUCUUGUCUGGUCGAAUCCAAAGUGAGAGACGAGGCAGCAACAUGGCAAUCGUGGCAACGUGGUAAUCAUCAUAUACAGGUGUCCAAGCUCCUUCAUUUUUUUAAGACUUUUUAGAAUUUUUGAAAGUAGGUGGAGAUUUGAAAUAGAACCCGGAGCAAGGACAGUCUACGAUUUUAACAAAGAAAUUAAAGUUUUUGGAAAACACAAGACAUAUAGUGAAAAUUUUGAAAAGAGAAAGAUAUUUCGAAAAACAAGGAUAGGGUAGCAGUUUUAACUCCUACAACCAUAGAGCCCUCUAAGAAGUUUAACGUCAUGCAACGAUGGACCAUACACCCGACCCUUUUACCUCAAUCCGGGGAUAGACGAAAUCCAUCAAACAAGGUGGUUGUGACCUAGAUACACCCAACCUUUUUGCGUCAUACGGGGCUAGACGGUACAUGUCUUGGCUCUUUUAUGUCGUACGAGUUUGACUUUUUUUUAUCGAAUAGGGUCUUUGUGCCCAGGAUACACCCAACCUUUUACGCCAUAUAGGGAUAGACGGUACCUGCCUCGGCUCUUUUACGUCACAUGAGUUUGACGUUUUUUCAUUGAAACAGGGUGGUUUUGCCCUAGAUAUACCCGACCUUUCACGUUAUAUGGGGAUAAACGUUACCUGUCUCGACUCUUUUACAUCGCACGAGUUUAACUUUUUUCUUGUGAGACAAGGUAGUUGUGCCCCUGAUACACCCGACCUUUCACAUCAUACGGGGGUAGACAAUAUCUGCCUCAACUCGUUUACGUCGCACGAGUUUGACGUCUUUUCUAUCUCGGCUCUUUAACGUUGCACGAGUUUGAGGUUUUCGCUGUCUCGACUCUUUAACAUCACACGAGUUAGACGUUUUCCUGUCUCGGCUCUUUAACAUCGCAUGAGUUUGACAUUUUUUCAUGUCUCGACUCUUUUAAUGUCACACGAGUUUGAUGAUUUUUUUCCUGUCUCGACUCUUUGACGUCUUAUUCUAUCUUAGCUCUUUUACGUCGCACGAGUUUGACGUUUAUCCUGUCUCGGCUCUUUUACGUCGCACGAGUUUGACGAUUUUCUGAAUUUGACUUUGGGACAUCAUACACACACAUGGGCAUGAGCUUGCCUCAUUUCGCCUCAGGGGAUCCAGUCGAGAGAAAAAUGCUCCCAAACUAGCCAAUAUCGUCAUUAGCGAGGUUCACCCAUCUCCGAUAUGUGGUAGUUGGUAGUUAUACUCAUACAACCAUGGAGUGCCUGGCUAGUUUCAAAUCUUCAUAAUAGGAGUUGGAAGUUGGCUUCAAGAAUGAGGCCAGAUCGACUAGCAGUUUAACCUCUAGUAGUGAUGGAGGAAGUCCUUUCUAAAAGGGUUUUAAAAAUGGAGGGUUUUAACAAUCAGAUUGAAAAAGUCUUUUUAAAAGGGACGGGCCCUACAGUUUUGCUACCUGUAGCCCCUUUGGUGGUCCCUAUGUGAGCGUAUCGAAUCCUUGCUUGAAUCUUCGGGACAAGGAAUCAUCAAGUAUUUCUUUAUCUUCCAACCUCAGCUCUUGUAUUGCAAUUCAAUGAGACUUCUCUGGAGUUUCGAGUGAAACAAAGUCUUGAAGAUACAUGAUAUCGCCCCUAGGUGUUUAGAAUCUCUUUGGAUUUUCGGUUUCGUUCCUCCACCACUCACCUUUCAAAGUUUCAGACAAUCUAGGUUCUUCACAAUGUUCCGUCAGGCUAAUGUUUAUUGAUUUUCUUUUAACACCAUUUUGACUCAGGGGGCGGAAAAGAAGAUGUUUAGAGACAAAAGACUUUGGAGAGUAGAAGGAAGGAGAAAACUUCUUCUUUUUCAACGCCCCGGGGUCCCUUUCAGGUGUUUAGCCCGAUAACCUUUUUUAUCAACGCUUGGGGUUCCUUUCGGAUUGUCAGCCCAACGGAUUUUUUUUUUUUUUCUUUUUUUUUUAUCGCUCUCGGGUCCCUUUCGAGUGUUCAGCACAAUAGCCUUUUUUCCAAUGCUUGGGAUUUCUUUUGGAUUUUCAGCCUAGCGGAAUUUUUUUUUUUUUUUAAAAGAAGAAAAUAAUGACAAAGGCAGAGGGGGAGGAAGAAGAAGAGUCAAAAGGUACCCCCUUUUCUUUUAUUUUUAACAACGCACCUUAAGAUCUUAUAAGAAUUCGAUCAUCUUUCCCUCCUCCAAGUGGCAGGGACGUUCAACUAUGGGUCUUCCUCUAAUUUUCCUUAAGGUAGGUUGGCAUCCAAAAUUCUUUGACAAUGGUUGCUGAGUCUCCGUUGAAUUUUUCCUUUAAACUGCUCCACUAGAACCUUGAUUUGGGACUACAAAUCACUCUAAGUUUCCUAAUCCCUCAGUCUUCUGUAUGGACGGAUAGGCUCAUCAGGGUUUUCCCAUUAAUGGAGUAUUCUAUGUUACACAUUAGGCGUUAAUGCCUUUUGAAAUAUGAGACAUGAAUGCCUCAUUUGGUUAUUUGAAAGGGGUGAGUGAUCACCCAACUCCUUUUCGAUAAUCUUUUUCAUUGCAAAUUUUGAAUUGCUUUUCAGAGGUUAACUUCACAGUAGGCUCUUGCUCAGUGCUCGAGCUUAGGUGAGAUUCUCGUACCUAAAGAGUAAUUAAGUUGGUAUUAUAUGGCCUUACGCAUGUUGGGAGUCAAUGAAGAAGGGUUCAAUCUCAUUAGUUGUCCCUAUUGUAUCCUCUUCAUGAGAGGAGUUUGCCCCUAUUGAAUAUUUUGAUGGGGUUGCCCCUGCAGGGCUUUCUGUUCCAUUGGAACUUAUUCUUCACAUGAUGAAUUCUCUUGAUAUGGUGGUGCUCCGGUUAUCAAAGUUGUGCUCAUAUCCAUAGAGCCUACCUCUUGAGGAGGUAACAUGGUCGGAUUUUUUAUAUCCAAUUCUUGAUCCCAGAUUGAUGGAUCAUUCAAGAAAUCCUGUGAAGGUAGUCCAGGUGGGCCCCUUAGAAUUUUCAAAGGUUCAAACUCUAUCAAUUCUAGUAAAGAUGCCAAAUCUUUGGGAAUAGUCAAAUUUGGGCUCUUUGCUUUUCCAUCAUCUAUAACUGGGUACACCUUGAGAGGUGACUUGGUUAAAUCUUCUAAGUUUGGCACCUCAUCCUACAUAGGUGGGUUGGCGAAGAAGUCUGGUGAAGGUGACCCAGGUAGGGCCCUUAGAAUUUCUAAAGGUUCGACUUCUUUUGAUAUUUGAAGUAUUGGUCCCUUAUUUGGAAGCAUAAUGGGAGACUUUGGGUUGUUGACCCCUUGUUUGGAAGAUGAUCCCUUCUCGUUGAUCUGGAUCAAAUCAAUUUCUAACACUUCAUCCUCAUCAUAUUGAUCCAUUUUAGGUGGGUCAUCAAGGUUAUGGGAUGAAGGGCUUCUUUUUAGCACUUGCUCAUUUGCCCUCUCAUGAGUUAUUGUCCCAUAAUUAAGAUUUUUCUUGUCGUCAUAGGCUUAGGAAUCCAUUGCUUCAAAACCUUGGUUGAGCUUAUGCUCGAGUUCAUAUUGCUCUUGCAAGUUUGAUUCGUUGCCACACACGUGUGAACCCUUUAUUGUGUUAACUUGGAAGUACAUGCUGAAGGGUUCAUAUGCCCUAGUGUGGCUCUCAAUGAUGGAGAUUUCUUAUGCCACUUUUGGGAGUGUAUAUUGGAGUGGAAUUCCAUAUGCGAUACCCAUUUCUUUGCCCCAUUCUUCAGGUAUGGGCUUGGAGAUAAGAUCACCAUCGCUGCUUUGAUCUUUAGUCAUUAACUCUUGGGUGAGGUUAUGCUCGUUUUGUUUUUCAUCUACUGGACUUUCCAGUCGAUUUCUUCGUGUACUCCAGUCCUUUAUGGAUGGUCUUCAGGUUUGGGCAAAACUUGUGAUUCUCCUGAGUUAAUCAUGUUGACAUCAGAUUUGUUUGUCAAUGCAUCUAGAGUUUCUAGUUUUUCUAUGUCAUCAGCCUCUUACUUUCUGACACUUAUCGUGCCAUUAUCAAUGAGGUCCUGAACUCUAUAUCUGAAAGCUUGACAUUCCUCAGUGUUAUAGGCAUAGUUUUGAUGCCAAUCGCACCAUUGAGAUAUAUCACCUCCAUGGAAAUGAGGAAUCUUGGCUUCUGUCGGUAAUUAUAUGAGCCUUGCCUUAAGCAACUUCUUCAUGACAUCGGUCAUAGGCUCAUCAAUGGGAGUGAAUUCCCUUGGUGUAGAAGUUGCCAUCUGGUAGAAUGAAUUUUAGUCUUUCCUUGUGAAUGGUUUGCAGAAGGAAUGCUUCUCUUGAUAAUGUUCACUUCUCCUUCUUGAGAGGGUUUUUCAGCUACGGCCUUAUCUUCUUUGGCUCGCUCAUACCGCGAUACUCUUUCAAGAAUAGCAUGAAAUGAGCAAGGGACUGCCCCAUACUAAAAAACAUGACAUAUUUUGGAGUCAUGUUUUGUAAUGUCAGGCUUACCGUCGCGGUUUCAGGGAGUGGAGUUUCAAUAACACGCAUAGCAGCCUCUCUGAAUCUGGUUAUAAAUAGGGAAGGAGACUCGUCUGACUUCUAUUUGGUGGAAGCUAAUUCACCAAGGGUGACGGGUCUUGGUCUUCCCCCACUAUAGCGGGAGGAAAAUUGCUUGAACAUUUCGUCAGGAGUUGCUUGAGGGUCAUUCUUAAUGAAUCUUCGGUGCUACAUCAAGGGUUCUUCUGAUAAGCUAUACGAAAACAUGACCUUACGUUGUUUAGGUCGGUCUUGCAAUGUGUGGACCAUCAAUAAGUAGGCGUUGAUGUGUGCCUCAGGAUCCUCUUUUCCUAGAAAUUUGUUUCUGAACUGUGGCAUCACAAAUCCCACUGGUAGAUCUUCUAGGUGUUCUAGAAUUUCUUGUACAUAAGCUUUAGGAGUUGAGAAAUCUCAUAUUCCCAUUUUCUUUAAAGAGUCUUGAAGCUGUUUCAUACGAGCAAAUUGAGCCGUCGUUAUAGAUGUGAGCUGGCUCGGUUGUAUGGUCUGUUGAACCUGACUUUGUGGUAUGUGACUCGUAUAAACUGGCUAUUGGGCCCAUGUAGCAGGUUGCCCCAAGGACUGAGACUGAGGUUGAACUUGAAGUGUUGAUUGUCGGCUUGUAGACUCACCCGAGCUGAGUUGGGUCAGAGCAUACCCAUUACUUGGAGGUUGCACAACUUGGCCACACAAGGAGGCCUGGGGGAUAGGAUCACCACUUAACUGGGAUGGAUGGCUCAAGCUGCUAUGACGAUUGGACCUCUGACCUCGAGUGGCUAGGUUUACUUGACUCUAACCUUGGUUGGAUGAUCUAUCCCUAGGGUUAGGGUAUUCUCUUGCCGCAGCACUGGACUGAAAGAGUGAAGGAAUGUCAUAACUACUGCCAGAUGGAGUCUGCCCUCUAGGUAGUCUUAGGCUCGAGUGAUGAUUAGAACUAGACCUCUGACCCGUAGUGGAUUGGAUUAGCAGGCUAACAGUCUUAGGAUUAUCUUGGUUUGAGUCAAAAUGUUGGACUUGGCCUAAGGCUUGAGCUUCUGACCUGACUUUCAUGGAUUGAGUGCACUGGAUAGUGUAUCCUCUAUUGAUCAGGUCUUGAAAGUAAUCAUGCACUUUAGGAUUGUCUUUAUAUCGAGUUAGGUCAAAACCCUGAUCUUCAUUGGUGAUGGGUUGCUUGGGUAGACUUUCCCUUGUUGUAUGUGAACCCACUCUCCUACUAACUGGCAGAUUGCCAAGACUAGAAUGUUGGGCUGCUAAUUGACCAUCGUGGUUCACACGGUUGAGAUCGGCUUACUUAGAGACUUGGGUCGGGACCUUAUUCUUGUUAUGCCGACUGGAUUUGAGGUUAACCCCUAUGUAUUGGAGGAUUGACCCAGCCUGACCCCUUGACUAUUCAGGGUAUUACAAACCUUAUCAACCUGUUGGCUCGUGAGUUUUAAAGGGUGGCCUUGAAGGUGGCUUAGACGGCUAGGUUUGGUUCUAUGUGGGUUGAGAGUCGGCUCACUGACACGAGUGCUAUGGAUGAUUUGUGAGGGAAAGGUACCUCUCAGACUGACUAGGUUCUCUGGAUCUAGACUGAGCUAAGACCAUAGGGUUGGACCUUGCUCUGCCAUGAUCUUGGGUCAUGAUUCCUAGACUCGGUGAGAUCUAGACUUGACGCCUUAGGGUAGACCUAGUUUGACUCUAGGGGCAAAAACCCUAAGUAAGACCUAGGCUAAGACUAGACUGGAACCUACACUUGCUAAACUCAAUGGAUUUUGGUUCAAACUCUGAACUAGGGUAAGCCUAGUCUAGCUCUAGAGGCAACUCUAUGCUUAGACCUAUACUAAAACCUAGACUAAGAUCUAGAAUAGAUGGUGCACGACUCUCGGCUAGGACCAAGAGUGGGUAUAGGUUUGGAGGGGUAAGCAACCCUAAUGUUUUUUUUUUUUUCUGAUAUUUUUAAUUUUGAUGAAACACAGUUAAACUAAGNNNNNNNNNNNNNNNNNNNNNNNNNNNNNNNNNNNNNNNNNNNNNNNNNNNNNNNNNNNNNNNNNNNNNNNNNNNNNNNNNNNNNNNNNNNNNNNNNNNNNNNNNNNNNNNNNNNNNNNNNNNNNNNNNNNNNNNNNNNNNNNNNNNNNNNNNNNNNNNNNNNNNNNNNNNNNNNNNNNNNNNNNNNNNNNNNNNNNNNNNNNNNNNNNNNNNNNNNNNNNNNNNNNNNNNNNNNNNNNNNNNNNNNNNNNNNNNNNNNNNNNNNNNNNNNNNNNNNNNNNNNNNNNNNNNNNNNNNNNNNNNNNNNNNNNNNNNNNNNNNNNNNNNNNNNNNNNNNNNNNNNNNNNNNNNNNNNNNNNNNNNNNNNNNNNNNNNNNNNNNNNNNNNNNNNNNNNNNNNNNNNNNNNNNNNNNNNNNNNNNNNNNNNNNNNNNNNNNNNNNNNNNNNNNNNNNNNNNNNNNNNNNNNNNNNNNNNNNNNNNNNNNNNNNNNNNNNNNNNNNNNNNNNNNNNNNNNNNNNNNNNNNNNNNNNNNNNNNNNNNNNNNNNNNNNNNNNNNNNNNNNNNNNNNNNNNNNNNNNNNNNNNNNNNNNNNNNNNNNNNNNNNNNNNNNNNNNNNNNNNNNNNNNNNNNNNNNNNNNNNNNNNNNNNNNNNNNNNNNNNNNNNNNNNNNNNNNNNNNNNNNNNNNNNNNNNNNNNNNNNNNNNNNNNNNNNNNNNNNNNNNNNNNNNNNNNNNNNNNNNNNNNNNNNNNNNNNNNNNNNNNNNNNNNNNNNNNNNNNNNNNNNNNNNNNNNNNNNNNNNNNNNNNNNNNNNNNNNNNNNNNNNNNNNNNNNNNNNNNNNNNNNNNNNNNNNNNNNNNNNNNNNNNNNNNNNNNNNNNNNNNNNNNNNNNNNNNNNNNNNNNNNNNNNNNNNNNNNNNNNNNNNNNNNNNNNNNNNNNNNNNNNNNNNNNNNNNNNNNNNNNNNNNNNNNNNNNNNNNNNNNNNNNNNNNNNNNNNNNNNNNNNNNNNNNNNNNNNNNNNNNNNNNNNNNNNNNNNNNNNNNNNNNNNNNNNNNNNNNNNNNNNNNNNNNNNNNNNNNNNNNNNNNNNNNNNNNNNNNNNNNNNNNNNNNNNNNNNNNNNNNNNNNNNNNNNNNNNNNNNNNNNNNNNNNNNNNNNNNNNNNNNNNNNNNNNNNNNNNNNNNNNNNNNNNNNNNNNNNNNNNNNNNNNNNNNNNNNNNNNNNNNNNNNNNNNNNNNNNNNNNNNNNNNNNNNNNNNNNNNNNNNNNNNNNNNGACAGAUCGAAUUCAGAUAUGAGGCCAGAUUUGCCAGGAAACGAGCAUAUCUACUCUCAGAUAUGUGGUAGGGCCAGUAUGAUCCAAAGCAUUAAUAUACGAUUUUUAAGACAAGUUAACAGAUCAAAAAUAUAUAAAAGAGAAAAAAUAGGAAAAAAGAAGAAAAAAGAGAGAAAGAAAUAAUACCAAACCAGGCCGGAUGGCCCGGGAUUCCCGAGCCUUCGAGGGCUCACCCGUAUUAGAACUGGUCCUCUUUGCUUCUCUGAUUCGGAUGUUGACCAGCUGAUAUCCAGCGUAAAAAGCUAGAUCUAGGGUUGUUGUGCCCUAAUUAUCGUUUUGAUCUAAGGUUUUUGUGCCCUAGGUUUAGGUUUUCUCAGUCUCGGGGGUUAGGACUUCAAAUAGGGUUUCUAUCUUCUCUAGGGUUUCCAAUCUAGAUAUUUUUUUAAAGCUGUCGGUCUUUCUCGAGGUCUGGAGUAGAAUUUCCUUAGUUUUCUAAGGGUUUUGUGAUGUCUUGAGGUUGAAUAUGAAUUCUGAAAUUUUCUCUAAUUUUUUGGAGAUUUUUUCUUUAGAAAUUUUAUAAGGGUUUUUCUUAUUUUUUAUAUUUUUUGGUAAUUUUUCUAAUUUCGGGAAUUUUUAAGGUUUUUUUUGUCUCUUUUUCUCUAUCCUUUUGGGUCAGGGAGAGAGGGUAUUUAUAAGAUUCAAUUAGUGAAUUUUUAAAAAAAAAUUAAAAUUUUUUCGAAAUUUUUUUUAUUUAUCUUGAAGUUUUAGCCUUGUUUAAUUAAAGAAACUGCAUUUACUGCAUCAUCAGAUGCGUUGACUGCGUCACCCACGUCUAGGCCUGUCGGGCCCAUAACAGCCCGGCCCGCGGCCCGACAGUUGGGUCUCACAUGAAUUAAAUUGUUGUUUGUUAUAUCUUUUUAUUCGUAGUCCGAUUCAGGCGAUUCUUGGACCGUUUGAAAGCUAUUGGGCUCUACUUCAAAUUGGGAUAGGUUUUGGGUAGCUUUGGGGUAUUAAAUUGAGUCUACUAGGAUAAUGUGGUCUGAAGGGUUCAGAAAACCAUAGAAUUUGCCAGAUUUAAAAUGGGGUAUCUACACUUAUAUAUAUAUAUAUAUAUAUAACUGAGGCUCUAAACAAUCAAAUUAGAGCCUACCUCAAAAAUUUCAAUAGAAUGGGUUGUUUUGAUUCCCAAAUAUCCACAAAUUGAUCAUCUCGACAUCAAGAUGCAUGGACAUAAGAAAUGGAUUUCAAGUUUUGGAAAUAGUUUACUUUGUAGCGCAUUUUUUUACCAUCAAUUUUCAAGAUUUUCAAUUUUUCAUGCAUCUGUCGAUCUACACUAUAUUUGAAGCCUUAAACUUUAUAAAUAAAGAUGAAAAUAUUUUUAAGGCUAUCACAAAGAUUUCCAAUAUUUAAACCACAUUUCUUAAAAUUAUUUGAAGGUAGAUUUUAAUUUGAUUAUUUGAAGAACACACGCCUAAAAUUUUAAGUGAUUUGGAUUUGUAGAAAAAAUUUAAAAUUCAAAUACUACCAAACAUAUGUGAUCGUCAGAUCGACCCAGAUUCAAUGUGGGCCGUUGAAUUCAUUUUUUUCGGUGAGCUAGUNNNNNNNNNNNNNNNNNNNNNNNNNNNNNNNNNNNNNNNNNNNNNNNNNNNNNNNNNNNNNNNNNNNNNNNNNNNNNNNNNNNNNNNNNNNNNNNNNNNNNNNNNNNNNNNNNNNNNNNNNNNNNNNNNNNNNNNNNNNNNNNNNNNNNNNNNNNNNNNNNNNNNNNNNNNNNNNNNNNNNNNNNNNNNNNNNNNNNNNNNNNNNNNNNNNNNNNNNNNNNNNNNNNNNNNNNNNNNNNNNNNNNNNNNNNNNNNNNNNNNNNNNNNNNNNNNNNNNNNNNNNNNNNNNNNNNNNNNNNNNNNNNNNNNNNNNNNNNNNNNNNNNNNNNNNNNNUGGUCAAAAGUUUCGAAAUUGACGGUCAGGACGGCUUGGUAACGUUCCACCCUUAUUUCAUUAAAAAAAAAUAUAUUUUCCACCCUUAUUUUAUUAAAAAAAUAUAUAUAUUUUUAAUGAUCCAGUGACACAUCGGUACAUAAUAGUACUGAUAUGAGUAAUGAUAGCUUAUCUCUCCUAUACUCACUCCUAUUCUCUCUCUCUUCCAAAUCAAUGCAUUUUCUCUCUCUUCCUUGGUUUUCUUCCUCAUCCAUGUGUCCCUCUUUCCUCUGCUCAAACACAGGCCGCUCGCUCUCUCUCUGUCUCUCUUUCCCUUGCUCGUUGAGAAAAACCCAAAGGCCCCUCGUCUUCCCUAUUCAAAGGCCGCUCAUCUUCCAUCUUCCCUGUGCCUUUCGCUCGCUUAAAAAAACCCAAAGGCCGCUCACUCGAUCCCUGGUGUGGCCUCCCCACCCUCUCUCUUUUCCCCUGAUGUUAAAGAAUACCCCAAAGGCCACUCUCUCUCUCUCUAUCUCUCUCUCUACCCAUCGCUCGCUCGAUCCCUGACUAGCCUCCUAACAGCAGCUCACCCCAUCUCUAUAGGUACUCUCUUUCUCUCUAUAUAUAUUUGACUCAGUUAAAAUGAGUUUAUAUCACAAAUCUAUAGUAUCCAUUGGGGUUUAUAUCAUAAACUAAUUUGCAUAUGAUUUUUUGGAAUUAUGUUAUUAUUUCUUUCAAAAAAUUACCAUUAAUCGAUGGAAAUGGUUGAUAAUAGAUUGUUGUACACACACGUCCCAUAAUUUUGCAGGUUAAUGGUAAAACUACCUUUGGCAUUCAAAAAAGGGUUUGUUAUAUUUCCUCAUCAGUUUUGAACGAUAUUCCAAGUCAAUUCAUACUAGGAAAACGGUUAUCUCAAUUUGUCGAUAAGAUGAUCAGAAAUAAAAGCGGCGUGGUUGUUUUUUAAUGAAAUAUCCAACUCCAUGUUUAUCCAUCUCCAUGUUAUAAAAACUUGUGAUGUAUCUAUCUGUUGCAAUUUUUGUAUGUGGCAAGGUGGGUUGAGAAAAAUACGAUUGGUAUUAUUAAAACUGAAAUAAAUUGUAUUUCUAAUUUCAGUUAGAAUGAGUUUAUAGGUACUCUUCACUCUGUAUUUGGCUCAGUUAAAAUGAGUUUAUAUCACAAAUCUGUAGUAUCCAUUAGGGUUUUUCCUGUAUUUUUUUCCCAUUGGGGUUUUUCGCCCCUGUUGCAUUGAGUUUACAUCACAAAUAUGUAGUAUCCAUCUGUUGCAAUUUUUGCAUUUGUUUCUAUAGGUUGAGAAAAAAUAUGAUUGGUAUUAUUAAAAUUGAAAUAAAUUGAGUUUCUGAUUUCAGUUCAACAGAUUCUCUCUCAGCAUCGAUGUGUUUUUGUGCAUUGGCUACAGAGAGAAAAUACAAUGGCUGAUGCAUUCCAUGGAUGUGAUAGAGUGAGAAUAGCAUUUGAUCGCAUCUGAUCAUUUUAACAGAAGCAUCCUUUAAAAAACAAAUCAAAUGAGUUCGUUGAGAACAAGUUUUCUUUCAAAAAUUUCUAAGCUUUGUUAUGUUUAUUUUUAUACAUUUUGAUAUAACAUAUAUUAUGUCUAAGCCCAAUAUCUUCAUGUGGCAUCUGAUGCACCAUAUAAUGAAUUACUUACUCUUGGAAAUUAGAAUACAUCUGUCGCAAAUUUUUAUUUAUUUUUUCAAUUGUGUCUUUCUCCCCCAUUUUCUUUCCCUUUUUGUUUUUUUGUUUUUUUGUUGCAUUUUUUUUUUUUUGCCCAUUGGGUUGUUUUGUCCCUACUGCAUUGAGUUUAUAUUACAAGUAUGUAGUAUCCUUUGUUACAAUUUUUGCAUGUGGCAAAGUGGGUUGAGAAAAAUAUGAUUGGUAUUCUUAAGAUGAAGGUUUGAAUACAUGUGUUUUUGUAGUUUACAGUUUCACGUUAGGUAAGUCAAAAAACUGAGAUGGAUUCCACGAAUUCAAUGGGUGUGACAUUCAGCACAUACCCAAAUGUAGGCAGCAUUGAUGAAAUCCCGGAGGUGGUUGUGGCACCUCAAACAUAGGCCAAUAAAUAGAAGAACCAUAUAUAGGAAUGAUGUUUGGAUCAUAGGAUGAUGCAUAUGAGUUCUUUAAUUCUUAUGCAUUGACUAAAAGUUUUGGUAUUCGUAUGGGGAGUACUCAUAACAAGAAAGGUAAACGGAUCGAUAGGGUUUAUAUUUGCUCAAAGGAAAGCUUUAAACAAGAAAAACCUAAUAAAAGUGGAAAGGUUUACCCUGAGUUAAGGUGUGGGUGCAAGGUUAGGAUGUACAUAAGUAGUCAAGAAGACGGCGAGUGGAAGUAACUAGCGUCAUUAAAGAUCAUAAUCACGAUCUAGUUAGUCUAAGAAAAACUCGUCUAAUUCACACACAUCGAUUAUUGUCGAGUGCUACAAAGUUAUUGAUACAUUCAAUGAGCUCAGCAAUGAUUAAGCCUAGACAUAUUAAUGACAUAUUUAUAGAGCAGGCUGGACGGAUCGACAAUGUCCCUUAUAUACAAAAGGACAUUCAAAAUGAAAUAGUAAGCGCUAGAAGAAAACUUAAAGGGGAAGAUGGCAAUUUAAUUUUGUAAUGGCUUUAUAAAAACAACCAAUCGAACCCAUCAUUUUUCUAUAGAUUGAGAUUAGAUGGUGAUAAUCACAUUCGCAGUAUCUUAUGGGUAGAUUAUACAUCUAGAGUUUCCUACAAGUGCUUUUCUGAUGUGGUUACCUUUAAUACCAUAUAUAUGACAAAUACGUUUGGUGUGCCCUUUGCACCUAUACUUGGUGUAAAUCAUAAUUUCAGUACAACGUUUUUUGGAUUUGCACUCAUAUUUGACGAGAAAAUAGAAUCAUUUAUAUAAGUAUUUGAAAACUGGUUGGAAGCCAUAGGUGGACGGCAGCCAUACAUUAUUCUCACUAAUCAAGAUCCUGCAAUUUUAUAUGCAAUGAUGCAAGUUCUCUACCAAAGUAAACAUCAUUAUUGUAAGUGACACAUAUUUACGAAGAUCAAAGAAAAAAUGUGUCUUGUCUUGCAUAUGCAUCUUUCUUAUUCAAAUACAUUUAGGAGGUGUGUGGCUAGCGCAACAAUUAAAGAAUUUGAAUUGGGAUGAAAAUCAAUGAUUGAUAAUUAUAAGUUGGAAGACAAUGAAUGGCUUAGUAGACUUUAUGGUUGUCGCAUGCAAUGUGUUGAUGCAUACUUGGCUGGCACAUUCAUUGUGGGUAUUACCUCUACUCAAAUGAGUGAAGGGAUGAAUGCACACUUCAAAAUGUACUUGACACCCACAACAAGCUUGCGUACAUUAUUAGAAGUUAUUCCAAAAGUCCAAGAUAAGAAGGUGCGAAAAUAAAGGGAAAAUGACUGAAAAGAUAUUCAAACUACUCCAAUCUUGCGAACAGCCACUUUCAUUGAGUCACAUGCAUAAAAAAUUUGUACUCAAAAUAUUUUAAAGAUAUUUGGGGAAGAGGUGGCUAAUUACUUUAAUUUUACGAGGGAGACAAUUGAAAACAAUGGAUAGGUUGCUACCUUUAAGGUGGCAGUCCCGAGGACCGGAUCUAGACCCUACUUAAUGAAAUUCAAUUGUCAUGACAAUUCCGAUUCUUGCAGUUGUCACUUCUUUGAGAGGAUGGGUCUUCUUUACAAGCAUGUACUGAAGUUUUUUAUGGUGAAAGAUGUAUUUGAAAUCCUUUCACAAUAUAUAAUGAGGCGUUGGACCAAGGAUGUAAAGAAGUGAGUUUUUCUUGAUGACAUUAGGGAACAAAUUCAAGUAACAUCUGAACUACCAUGCUCUAUUAGAUAUAAUGAGGCUAUGCAGGCAAGUCGAUCCCUUGCCGAGCGUGCUUCACGAAGUAUAGAGGCCAUGGGUUUGUAAUGUCCAUGAUACAAAAUGGAAUUCGUCAGUUUGAUGAAAAGUUUGUGUGCAAGAGAGGUCUAUAGGAUAAUGCCAUGAGUUAUCUCAAUGAAUAUGACAAUUCCGCUAGAUGUAGUAACGUACCAAGUGGAAGUAACCAUUGCCACAAUAUCCUUGAACCUGCACGUGCACGGACAAACGGACGACCGGUCACUAAAAGAAUGAAAGCUUGUUCUGAGGGAUGGAAGCCGAAGACUAAAAAAACAAAAUGCGCAGUCUGCAAUGGCAGUGGACAUGACAAAAAGAAUUGCUCGUCGUUCGUUGUGAUAGGUACAAUUACAUACCUUUGUAUUAUUUUGAUUUGCAAUUGUGUUAUCUUCAUUAUUGUUGAUAUAUUUGAUUUACAAUUGUAUUAGUUUAAUUGAAAUGCUAACAUAAGAAUUUAUCUUCCUCUUACAUGGCUAAGGACAAAACACAUCGUAAGCUUCGGACCCAUAAGACGGCAGCAGAUGUGCAUUGAUGGUAAGAAACAAUUGUUUGGAAGGCAUGUUUGCAAGUUCAUUUUGAAACAUUUUUAUAUAUGUAUAAGUUCAUAUUUGUAAUUUCAUUUGGAACAAUAUUGUCGCUCAUCGUAAUGUGUUUUAUGUCCCAGACAGAGAGAACAAAUUCAUAUGGAACAACUUCAAAGGAGGGGUUAUGUUGUUGGCUUCUUUUUUUCUUUUUUUUUGAAAUGUUUGUUGUUAAACUAUUGCCAUUAUUGAUGGUGGUUGUAUACCAUUCACUCAAAAAAAAAGAUUGUUGUAUGCCAUUGUACUCUUUUCACUUCCUUUUGGGUUAUAUGGUGAUAUGUAAGGUGAUUGGGUACAAGGAACGAACCAUGAUGUAACAAUGGGUUGGACUAUUGAACUUUAUAUGAACAAUUUUGCUAUUGAAUGGACUACCCCAUUUGGAAGGUAGUUUAUGAAUUGUGUAAUAUUAUAAUUAUCAAUGCAAUGUAUUAUAAGUAUAGCAAUAAUUUGUCAGCCUAUUUCUUGAAAGGAUUUUAGAUGAGUAGAAUGUAUACUAAAUUGUCAUCAGAUGCUAUAUAUUAUCACUAGAGCCCGUCUCGUUGAUUGUGAGUCUUUCAAUUCGUUAAGUGUACAAUCCAAGUAAUGUUAUACUACAUGUACGGAGAGAGAGGUAAGAUGUGCAAAUAUGUAGUUUCAAAAAAUUUGGUAUCUAAUUGGGGUAAUGUAUUCCUCUUUAUUUCACACACAUUUAUGAAGGACACGUGCAUUUAUGAAGGACAGGUACAAAGCAAUCAUGUGGAGGUUCAACAUUAAUGGUAUAACUAAUUUUAUAACCGAUUCAAUUAUCCCUAAUCUCUUACGCUCAAAUUAUAAACGAUUCAAUUUUAUUUGACACACAUUUGUGGAAGAAAUCACAUACGCUCAAAUUAUGAGGUUCCAAAAAUGUACAAUGCUAAUAGCAAAUUAUGAAAAUAUUCAAGCCACAAAACCACCAUAAAUUAACAUCUACUCCUUUAGCUUUUAUCAUUCAAACCACUCAAGAAUAUUUGAUGCAAACCGAAAAGAAUAUCAAAUCAUUCACAAUGUACUAUAAGCAAGUAAAUUGUUCACCAUUUAAACUACAAAACCAUAAAAAAUUCACACUUAACUUAUUUAGUUUUCACUUUUCAAAUAUACUAAAUUAAACAUUGUUGUUCCAUAUAAGAUAUAGAAAUAUAAGUGUAUACAAUUAUAAGUAUAUAGAUACCAUAAAAUAUAUAUCCAUUCUUUUUACAAAAAACAGAGGGCAGACAUCAAUAUCAUAAAUAAGAUUAUGAGAGUAAUUUUUUGAACGUCUGCUUUCUUAGGGACUAUAGCACCAUAUUUGCGCUUCUCUUUUUGCUUUCUCAAGGACUAUAGCAACAUAUUUGCGUUUCUCUUUUUCAGAUAGAGAUGCAUCUAGUCCAUCAGCAAUACAAGCAUCUGGCCUCUAAGAGGUGAACCUUUUAACCACAUGCUUAAGGGAAGGGCACCAUCCUAACUAAUAGUUCUGAUUUUACAGUGACAUGUUUUUAUUUCGGAAAAUUAAAAAAAAACCCUAUGACCCAACUUUCUUUACAACCUACCCCCACUAAUUUUUUUCAGGGAAAAUUACAUAAAACUCUCAAAAAUAGAUUUUUUAAGCAAUUUACCCCCAACCUAACCUUUCCUAGCAACUUUUUUCUCAAAACCAUGUUUCCAAGCAAAUAGCCCUCCAACUCAAAAAGACGAAAAAAAAAAAAACAAGACUAAAAUACCCUUCCCUUACCUCACACAUUGACCAUGGCGGUUUGGCAUUUGUUUCUAGAUUAAUGAGCAGUCCGGCAUUUGUGAGCUACAGUCUGGUAAAAUUGGAAAUUGUGUUUAGAACGGCCCGACAGUGUACAGUUCCGGUUCGACAGAAUAGAUGGGUUUGACAAUAUACAACCACGGUCCGACGUUUCCUUUUAUUGGGAUCCAAAAAUGAUUUGUUAUGUAUAAGAAUAUUUUUGUAAAAAAAUAAAAAAUGAACUUUUGCAUUGGGGAGUAUUUGCUAUAAAACUUGAUUUUUGAGAAAAAUAUGCUAAAAAAAAUUAGGGUGGGGUAAAGUGCUUGGAAAGUCUAUUUUUGGGAGUUUUAUGCAAUUUUCUCUUUUUUAUCACAAUUUUUACCCCAAAACAAACUUUUCUAACAAAUACCCCCAGUAAAACAAAUUAUGAUUUUUUAAACCAAAAUGCCCUCAACUACUUAUCUUUUCCCAUAACACACAAAAAGACGGUCCAAUAGUAUAAACAAGCUAUCCAGCAAUAUCCCAAAGAACGGUUUGGCAAUAAGCCCAAAGUGCGGCCCGACAAUGUCCCCACUUGAUUCGGCACAAUAUCCACACGUGAUCCGACACAUUGUGGACUCAAUUCAGCAUUCUUUCUAAUCAUUGAGCAUCUUACGGAGAUGUAACACCAUCGUGUACAGACAAUGACAUUUUUAUCAACAAACCAAUGACUUUUUUUAUUCGCGGAGUACUUACCAGAAAAGUUUGCUUAAUGAUCAAAGUUGCGAUAAAAAAAAUUAAUUGGAAGGAAUUCAACCCCCAUUGAUGAAAUUUGAAGCUCAAACAGUGCAGGAAAAACAAAUUUGUAAACACUUGCAAUUGGACAAACAAACAAAGCGAUACAAAAUCCACUAUACUAUCGAAGUUCAGUUUCAUUAAAAAAAAAAAAAAGUCCAUAAAUUUUCUAGAGUGAUAUGAUCCAAGCUCCUUCCUAUAUAAGUUGUUUUUAUAAUAAAAAUCAGAGCCGUAAAAUAUGAGCUUAGGUGGAAAAGUGAGGCUUGGGCUUUACAAUAAGAGUUGAGUAGGGGUGGCAAUGAACCUAGACCCGACCCUAGGUCCAAAAAUUAGACCAGACAAAUCAGGUCUUGGUCCAAUAUUUGGACCAGAACACUAUUCAAUUAGGCUCGGGUCACGUCAGUUCAGAACCAGACCAGGCGCCACCCCAAGAGUUGAGCCAAACUUCAAAUCCCAAUACAACGCUAAAAUCCCCUAUAAUGGCAAGGAAUUGACUUUCAUAAAAUUCAAAACUCGAAAGUGGUGGGAAUAAUUGAAAACAUAUAAUUCAAAUAAGGGAAUAUAUAUCAUAAGACCAUUUAUUUUUUUGACCUAAAAAGGUUACAAUCUUGACCGUUGGAUUGAUAUAAGGGGGAUGGUGUUGUGUCACUGAUCGGGCACAAAAUCCAAAACAAAAUUUCUCAACAUCUCAAUUUUUUGGAUUUCACAUCCGCUAAUAGUGUGACCUUGUAUCGAAAGUAAAUAGUCUUAUAAUAUACACCCCCUUCAAAUAAUGUGUUACAAACUACAAUACUUGAAGACUUGGUAUUCAUCAUUUUUCAAAUCCAUGAUCGCCAACGUCAAGAUGACCAAUUUGAGAAUUUUCCAGCAUCGUAACAAAAAUACACCGCUGGCUGAAAUUUGAUUUGCAGCUUCACCUUCUAUUGUAAAGCUCUAAUUAACAGUGAGGCAUUACUUUCUAUUGUAAAGGCUAGGCAAAACACCUUCCAAAUAUGACAUAGAACUUUCACAUAGAGGCGAUACUCUUUAACAUAGAACGAACUCAGAGAAAGCAGCAAGUUAACCGUUCCUUCACAGAACAUGGAAAAGAUCAAAAGAUAUGCGCCUCCUAAUGAGAAUGGUUGCAUUGUUGGAAAUCCCUUUUAGUGAACUGGAUGGGCCAGAUGUGCCAAGCUGAUGGAAAGCUGCAUAAGCUAGGGUUUAUAUAACAACUCCCAUAGAAAUAACAUUAAUGACUCUAUUAUCUAGGAAAAAUUUGGCAAUUUAAGAAGAUCCAAGCAAUCCAGAUUUAUAAUACCCUAACAAUCACAUAUCAUAGGCCGAAGGCUAUCAAUGGGAAAGUAGAUCUUCCCAACCCCACUCUUAACAUCACAAAUCACCAUAGCUUCGAAUGAAAAAUCCAGAGAGCUGUACUCGCAAAUUUCGGAUGCAUGAGUAGACAUGAAAGAAAACACAAACAAAAACCCGGCAAGAUGAGAGAGAUCAACGCAACCUCCGGGCUUCUCUCUCAGACUCGAGCAAGGUGAGAAUGUCACCUUCCCUGACAGGCCCCUUCACAUUACGCAUGAUGAAACGAUUCUGAUCAUCCAAAAACUUCACUCGAACCUGAGUCACUUGACCCCUUGAUCCAGUUCUUCCCAUAACCUUAACAACAACUGCGAGCUUCACCUGGGUAUCCAUUUCAGUUGCUGGAAGAAAAAAACAUUGCUUAGAAAAAACUGAUAAAAAUGUCUUCUUAUUUCCAAAGAGGAAAAGAAAAAUGAACAUGCCCCUCUUAAUGAAAUGUUGCUCCAACAAACACCACAUUCUUCUAACCUAUUGCUUCAUAGAGGAACCCAAAUCCCACGACCCAAAGGGACUGUCUCACACAAUUAGAAGACAAUAUAAUGUGAUAUGCCAGGAUCCCAUGGGCCAAUUUAUCGAGAAAAUGAAAUGAACAUGUGCAACUUCUUCUGUGAAAACCAACAAAACAUCAUUUCCCGCUAAACAAUUUUGUGAAUCUCUCAGAAGAGCCAAAUCCCUCUCUUUACAGAUGCAUGUAAUUCACAACCCUGCUUCCGCCAAAAGCCAAAAGAGCUACACAAUCACCUGGGAAGAUGUGAAGGGGUGGACUCAUCGAAAAUGCAGCACAAUAAAAGGGUGUGAUUCUGCUUUUCAGGACAAUUUCAAAUAACUAACAGUAUACACUUUAACAAUGGAUAGAAAAUGUCAAUAGAAAUCCAGAUGGUUGAGGUAUUGAUGGAAAAUGUCAGAGCAGAAGAGAGCCAGAAACUGGAUACUAAGGAUAUAGGGCACCAGGUCCAACAAAAGGUAUCUUGAGAAGAUCAAAGCAAUCAGCAGGAGGAAGGAGGUUGACCUAAGCCAAGAUGAUUCUGCUUAAAAAGGACGGACAUGCACAUAAGGCUCUGGCACAAUCUUGCGAAAUAAAAACCAGAACUAGCUAAAAGGCCAAGAAACCAAAAUUACAAAAACCCAUUAAACAUGAUAAAAACCAAAUUUCCAUAAAGGAAAGUAAACUACAACACAAUGGACAAGAAAACCAUAGUCCAACAGAAUCAUCACCAUAGAUGGUCAUAAAGAGACAUUAAGACCUAACAACAUGAUCACAUCCCGCUCUGGUGGGUCCUAGACUCUGUCCACUGUCACUAUCAUUUAAUUAAACGGUGAUGACCUUAACUGAUUCAGGUUUUCAGAGUCUGCAAUCACAAUAUGCAUUUUCUUAUCACAAUCUCCCCUAUAGUGUCACAAAGUUUGAGAAAUUUUUUUUGAACUUUGAGCUUUGUCAAUGAAAUAAAUGCAGCCACCCAAUUUCACAUCCAAUGGUCAAGAUUAAUUGUGACCACCUUGUAUCAAAGAUAAAUGGUCUCAUUAUAUACUUUCCCAUACAUAUAUAUAUAUAUAUAUAUAUAUAUAUAUAGUAGUNNNNNNNNNNNNNNNNNNNNNNNNNNNNNNNNNNNNNNNNNNNNNNNNNNNNNNNNNNNNNNNNNNNNNNNNNNNNNNNNNNNNNNNNNNNNNNNNNNNNNNNNNNNNNNNNNNNNNNNNNNNCGUUAGAUAUUCUCAUCAAUGCGCACCUAAUAAAAAUAUAAAAACAAAAAAUUCGUGAAAAAAAAAUUGAGCAAAAUACCCCCUGAAACUUUUCGGGGGUAUUUUGGUCAAUUUAUUUCAUGUAAAUAUUUCUUUUGAUAUUUUUUGUAGAUUCGCCUAUUUUUGAAGAACACAAGCCUAAAAUUUCAAGUGAUUUGUAUUUGUAGAAAAUAAAAUAAAAUUCCAACACUAUCGGACAUCCGUGAUCGUCAGAUCGGCCCAAAUUCAAUCUGUACGUACAGAAUCUUUUCCCAUAUGUAUAUAUAUAUAUAUAUAUAUAUAUAGUUCAAAUAUGUCUUGCAAUGAUGGGUAUGAAUACUGUAAAUAAAUUAAUGUGUCAUAAUGCAACAGACAUUAAAAAUAAUAAAAGCAUUGAGUUCUAAAAUAGGGGCAUGAAAACAAUAUUCUUUAAUUUGGUUUCCAAACACGUUGUAGCAAAUUUACAGUAAUAAAAAAAAAUUACAAGCUUGUAUUUAGAAGUGAAUCAAAUCAUCUAAUUCCACUGGUUAUUGCCUCGCACAUUACUGGGUAACUAGACUGAAUUAAACCUCUUGAAAAACUGAAUAACUAAGUAAGGAAUUAAAGCAAGCAUUAAUUAUACAGGGAUGAGAUUUUUUUUCUUUUUUUCUGAAGUUGUUAACUGCAAUUACAUACAGUGAUGAGUUGAUUUGGACUUACUUUAAAAGAAAAGAACAAUUACAAUUACAGAAGCUGUAAAUGAUUCCUGCUGCUAAAAAGUCGCAAAACCUAUACCUACAAGUCUUAAAACAAGUUCCAUACUGUUUCACGGCAGAUUGCAAAAUUUCCCACUAAAAUUGCAUCACCCAAACAACAAUAUACCACCACGAGUGUAACACUAUAACAUGUACACAAUUUUCUUUUACUGUUCCCACCCCAAGAUGCUAAAGCAACAUGAAACUCUAGGGGCAGCCAAAGAUCAAAGGCCCCCUAAACCAAACUGGCAGUCACCAUAAAGCUAAUAAGGAUGUAACCAUAUGGAACACCUGACAACCAGGUAUGGCCAACCGACCCAUUGUUAGCCCUAAUAGAGAUCUGCAGAAUCAAUCGUCCUGACAAAGUAUCCUCUCUCUCUCUCUCUCUCUCUCUCACACACACACACACACACACACACAUUCAUGUUCCCUAAGUCUAACCAUCAAAACUAAUUGGUUUUACACUCUUUCAGCCCCCUAAGAAACUAAUAUGUCUUACAUGGCAUGUGGCAGAAAUGUCUGUGGGUUUUCAGCGAUUAUAUCAUGCACCUUUCUCUCUCCUCAUGUACCACUUGAGGCUAAUAAGAUGGCCAACUCACUUGGUAAGGUAUGAGGAGGAUUGGACUUGAGGUACCAGUUUUAAACUUCUAAGAUGUUAACUCAAUGUAGUUAACCAGAGUCAAAACAUAGGUCAGACCAAACCCAUCCAAAUACGGGUAUAAUGUUCUCCAAGAUAUUAUUAACAUCCAAGUUCAAUUUUAUGAAUAGACGCAAAAUUUAAGAAUGCAUAAAUUAAAAAGACGGGCUAAAAAAUCUCAAAUCUGAAAUAAAUUCGUGACUAGAAAAGUUGAUGGAAUUGGAGUCCUAUUGUGCAUCAUUACAAACAAUGCCGCAUCAUGAUAACAAAUAAAAAUGGAAUGAAAUAAUUUUCAACAAUGAUCUUUGAACAAGAUCUAUUUAGCACAAUGGAAUAACAAAUUGAUAACAAGGAUUCGCUAGCUUCCAUUAAAACUUAAUCACGUCAAGCAUUGUUCAAAAAACUGCCAAGCGCCUAAGCGAUCCAGAAGACUUGGGCGCAUCGCCCAAGCCUAAGUGGCCAAACUAGGAGGCAGUCCCUGGGCGGCCGCCCAGGGCUGGGAAUAACAAAUUAAUAACAAGGAUUCACUAGCUUCCAUUAAAACUGCAUCACAUCAAGCAUUGUUCAAAAAAGCAGAUCGCCCUACGCCUAAGCGGUUCAUAUGCACCCAGGCCUAAGCGACCAAACUAGGCGGCAGUCCCUGAGCGACCGCCCAUCACCCAGCCUUGGGCGGCCACCCAAGGCCUGUGCCCCACCUAGGGGCGGAAAUGAGUUUUUUUUAUUCUAUUGAGUAUUUCAAAUAAAAAUAAAAGCUUUUAUAAGGUGGGUUUUAGGUUCAUUUGAAACCUAAACCCACAAGAACCCAUUUUAGAUAGAAAGAAACCUCAAAAAAACUAGAUUUUGUGAUUUUUAUUGGAUCGAAGUGCUUCUCAAUGUUAUGGAAAAUGGAUCCAAACAUCACCCAGGUAGAUUAGAUUUAGUUUUAGAGUUUUUGAAUCCUAUUAGACGGUGUUUUUGAAUAUUUUAGCACCAAAAAACAUCUCCAAGGUGGGAGUUUGGAGUUCAAUCAAUCAAAGUAAGUGCAAAACUUUAUUUUUUAGCUUCUUUGUUUUAUUUUGACAUGUUUUCUUCAGAAUCUAAUCGAAGUGGAGAUCUGGAUAGAAAAUAUUGAUAUAACCUGAAUCCGAAUGACAAAAAUUGCAUCAGAUGCAAUUAUUGUGAAAAAAAUACAAAAAGGGACAUAAACCGAUUUAAGAAACAUCUUGACGGUAUUAAGGGGGAUGUUGCCCUUUGUAAAAACGUUCCUGAAGCAAUCAGAGAGGAGAUUAAGCAAUAUUUGAGUUCUGUAAAACAAAAACAGGAACAAAAUCCGCAUCAUUUGAAUAGAUCUAUUUUGGCUCCUCUAGAAAAGUGAUCCGGGUUGGAAGCAUGGUCAUAACCCAAAAACAAAUGAUACAAAUUCUAUAGGAUGUAAUUUUUGUGAAAAAGAUACCAAUGGGGGUAUUAACCGAUUCAAGAAACAUCUGGCCGGUAUUAAAGGGAAUGUUGCUUCUCCAAGUUCUUCUAUAUGAGCCUAGUCCAAUGGAGGUAUUAACUGAUUAGGCAAUUUUUGAAUUUAGAAGAACCAGAAAAAAAUGAAAAUGAGCCUACUUUAAUGGAAAUAUUUUCUCCAAGUUCUUCUAAAAGUGGUGAUCCAAGUUAGAAGAAUGGUUAUAGCCCGUAUUCGAAUGACAAAAAUCGUAUUAAAUGUGAUUAUUGUGGAAAUGAUACUAAUGGGGGUAUUUACCGGUUCAAAAAACACCUUGUCGGUAUUAAGGGGGAUGUUGCCCCAUGUAAAAAUGUUCCUGAGGCUACCAGGGAGGAGAUUAUACAAUCCUUAAGUUCAAGGAACACAAAAAGAUAGAAAAGGGUAGAGCAGCCAAGACUCCUAGGGCCUCAUCUGCACAUAGUAAGAGGGAGGUAGAAGAAGAGGAGGAAGAUGCAAAUUCAGAAAAAACAGAGGAGGACGAGCGUUAUAUUGAAGAGGUAGAUGACUCUGAUGAUGGCCUCGAAUCUGAUUCAUAUGUUGAGGCUUACCUUAUUUCCUUCUAAUGAUGAUGACUGAAGAAUGAAGAGUUGAAGAUGCUUGAGUGCUUGACUCUUGGUGUUGAGUGUUGACUGUUGUGUCCUAGACUGUAUAUUUUUCUGAAUUUUUGUACUUUUUUUUUUUUCUUAUUUUUAGUUUCUACUUUCUAGCUUCUACUAUCUAACUUUUGUGUGUAUCAGACUAGCAGUGUAUGCUUGUAUGGUUUAACUGUUUUAGCAUCGUUUUUUUUGGGCCGCCCAGGUUCUGGGCACCCACCUUGGCACUCGGCGGCCUAAACCCCCACGACCGCCUGGGUGCCGCCUAACGCUUUUUGAAACACUGACAUCAAGAGAUCCCACCAUGUCUUGUUUCAGAUGGAUCUCAAAAUCAUGGGAGUCUAAUCUGAAUGUGGAACCUCGGGCACAGCUGAAUUGUAAGUCAAUAACACAAAGGGGUAUCAAUUACUCACUGAUAGCGUAAUUUUACAUUGAAUUUAAAUAGAAAAACAAACAAUUACAACUACGAAAGCGGUUUAUCCGUAUAUUCAGUUUCAAAUGGUAAUUUAUAUGUGAAAAUAUUCACACUACUGCCCUCUGCAUCUGCACGUUUUAAGAAAAUGCCUUCUUUCUUUUGGACUCCCUAACACUAAUUGAGUGAAAUUUUCCAAAUUUCUUGAAAAUAAUGCCAUCAUCCAAUCAACUAACUUCCCUUCACAUCAGAAAAUAACAAAAUGCAAAAGUAAUUCUGCAAAUGGCACCUAAAACCAACAAAUCUAAAUCCCAUUCAAUGCAUCCCAUGCCCUCCCAAAAUCAAUCUCAAUAAACCAACAAAAUAUACAGGCAUCACAAGAAUCACACAUUUCACCCAAUACAAUCCUUAUGUUAACCCUUAUAAACGUUCAUAACACAUAAAUACACAAUCCUAAAUCAAAACCCCAAAAACCAACCCUAGAAAACUCUAAAUGAAAGCUCGAAAAACCCAUGAAGAAUUGUAAUUCGUGUAUUGAUAAAUCAACAUCCAAGAAAGAACCCUAGGACAGAUCAGUGGGCGCAUAGAAAGACAAAACACAGUAAACAUCAAGAGCGCAUCGAAACCCUAAUCAAGCGGGCAACGAGAGAACAACGAAGGAGAAAGAGACAUCGAAACAGAUCUGACAUGGCCAUGGAAGAACGCAAAGCGAUUGGUUUAUACAACUGACCUGUUUAUUGAGAGACGAUGAUCUUUCUAGGGUUUCCUCAAUGGAGAUCCUAAACGAAGGGCUUUAAUUUGCAAAAAGAUUAAAAAUCGUUGAACGAGUACCACAUAUAUAUGCCCUAUUCUCUCUCCUUUCCUUAUAUAUAAUGUGCCCCGCUUCUCUCUCUAUCUAUUUAUCUAUCUAUGAACUUCUCUCUCUACAUGCCUCACUUUCCUCUCCCUAUUCUUUCUCUCUUCUUUGCUCUAUCUUCUUUCUCUCUAUGCAUGACUUUGGGCUUUUCAAAAUCAGAUUUAAGAGGAAUUUGAGGUCCGAUUAUUUAAAGGAUGCGAUUAGUAUGCGGCCAAGCACACACAUGUAGAAAUGUGGGCUUGACAGUAAUAUAUUUUUUAAAUAUAAUUUGAUUCUAAUUUUAGAGAAUAUAUAAUCUUUAACAUGGAGAUCAUGAAUAUGAAAAGAAAAAAGAAAUGAAAACUAGAAAUAAUAAUUAUAGUAAGAAAAUCAUUUGGAACGUUAGUUACAAUUGUUUUUAAAUGGACCACCUGUUUGCAUCCAUUUUUUAAGAUGGAUGCUUUAUACCUCUGGACCACAUAUUAUAGAAAUGUGGUCCAGCUCGCAUGAAACAAUUGUUCUUAUUUAAAUAUGGAAAAAGUUUAUAUAGAGCCAAGGCUCUAAACAAUCAAAUUAGAGCCCACGUCAAAAAUUUCACUAGAAGAUGUUGUUUUGAUGCCCAAAUAUCCUCAAAUUGAUCAUCUCGACAUCAAGAUGCAUAGACAUGAGAAAAAAAUGGAUUUCAAAUUUUGAAAAUAGUGCAUCUUGCAACGCAUUUUUGGACCGUCAAUUUUCAAGAUUUUCAAGUUUUCAUAGAGCUGCUCGAUCAACACUGAUUUUAAAGCUUUAAAACAUGAAAAUAUAUUUUAAGGCUAUCACAAUGGUUUCCAGUAUUAAAACCACAUUUCUCAAUCCUAUUUGAAGGUGCGCUUUACUUUGAUUGUUUAGAGCCUCGGCUCUAUACAAAUCGCACCCUUUAAAUAUACGGAUUGUCUACAAAGAGACCAUUUACCUUUUGUACAAUGAAGUCACAAUCAAUCUAACAGGGUCAUCCCCAUGAACCACAGUCCAACAAGGUCAUCCCCAUAAAUGGUCAUAAAGAGACAUUAAGACCUAACAACAUGAUCACAUCCCACUCUGGUGGCUCCUAGACUCUGUCCACAGUCACCUAUUUGUAAUUGAAUGGUGAAGACCUUAACUGAUUCACGUUUUUAGAGACCACAAUCACAAUAUACAUUUUCUUAUCCAUAAUCUCCCCUAUGGUGUUACUGGCACCCCAAGGAAUUGGGGCACACUAUCUGUGCUCCAAUAUAGGACGAGGCUCAACACCCAUACAAUAUGGUUGUGCAUCACAUAAAAAAAGAAAAGUUUGAAUGGAAUUGCAACGAUCAAUGUAAUGAAACCUAUGACAUUCUCACAAAACAAAAAAAACCAAACCUAUGACACCAAAUUGUGCCAGGAGGAAAGAAAAAUUAUGAAAGGAAAUGGAUGCACAAUAAGCAUUCUUAAGACUUAACCGAGCCGCUUUCAAUAAGAUAGCCAUUACCUCUCUAAUUCCAACCCUUCCUUCCCAACUCUGCAAUAAAUUUUUCUAUAAUAAUAAACACUAAAUGGCAACAUUAAAGGAGACCAAUCUUAUGGGGACAUGUAUAAAAUUUACAAAGUUAAGACUAAUGGCCUAGAAAUUGACCACCUUGAUCCCUUUGAGAUACAAACCAUCCAUAAGAUACAAGCACAUUCCAUUAAAAUCUUGCUUAAGAGAUAACAAGUUUAAACAAUAUCCAAAGUCAAACCUAGGGGAGAUACAGACUAUAGGGAAAGUUUUUCCACCAAGAAAUUAUAUUUCCUUUUGUAAUUGUGUGUGCAUCCAUAAAAGGUGAAGAAUGCUCCAAAAUAGUUUACAAAAAUUGGCUCCGUCAAACGUAGUCCUAGGCGGCUAUCUGUGUCAUGAGGAUACCAUUCCUCUAAACGCUUUCUCAUGCAAGUAAACGAGCCAUUGACCUCGGUUUUCUAUGAACAUGUUUAUAAACAAUAAUUUGCAAAAUAUAAAUUGACCAAAAUACGCCCGAAAAGUUUUGGAUGUAUUUUGGCUAAUUUAUUUUUUGCGAAUUAUUUUUUUGAUAUUUUUAUUAGAUUCUCUUAGUUUUGGAGAAAAGAUGCUUAAAAUUUCAAGUGAUUUGAAUUUAUAGAAAAAAAUUCAAAUAAAUGCAAUUGUAACCAUCGAAUCGACCCAUAUUAAAUCUAGGCCAUUGGACUGAGACUGUGGCAUUAACCAGUGGGCUAAACUCAUUUUUUCCUAUCUAUAUAUUCAAAUAAAUGCAAUUGUGACCAUCGAAUAGGCUCAUAUUAUAUCUGGGCUGUUGGGCUAACACUGUGGUGUUAGGUAGUGGGCUAAACUCAUUUUUUCCCAGAUAUAUGUAUAUAUAUCUAUAUAUAGGUUCAAAUAUGUCAUGAGAUAAUGGGCAUGAAAUUCCAAAUCCUUUAAAAUUAACAUAGCUCACAAGUCAGAUAUGGAAAUUUGAACCAAGCUAUCCAAACAGCAAGAAAUUUGCCAGAAUUUAGUCAACUUUGAACACUUCCAAAUGUAGCUUCCAAUUUAUAAAAAUAUAUAAUUUCAUAAUGCCUAAACCAUAAACAAGGGAUUAUCAGCCAAUAAUCCAAGAGUAGAACAAGUUGGUGGAAUCACAUUCCUAUUGUGAAUAAGUUAAUGAGUCAUAAUGCAACAGAAAAUUUAAAAAUAAUUAAGUCAUUGAGUUUUAAAUAAGGGGCACGACAACAAUAUUCCUUAAUUUGGUUUCCAAGCACGUUGUAGCAAAUUUACAGUAAUAAAAACAAAAACAAAAUUUACAUGCUUGUAUUUAGAAGUGAAUCAAAUCAUCUAAUUCCAAUGUUUAUUGCCUCAGAUAUAACUGGACGACUAGCCCAAAUGAAACCUCUUGAAAAACUGAAUAACAAAUAAGGAAUUAAAGAAAGCAUUAAUUACACAGUGAUGAGUUGAUUUGGACUUAAUUUAAAAGGAAACCACAAAUUACAAUUACAGAAGCCGUAAAUGAUUUCUGUUGUUAAAAGGUCGUGAGCCCUAUGCCCACAAAUCUUAAAACAAGUUCUAUACUUUUUUUUACUGGGAUUGCAAAAUUUUCCACUAAAAUUGUACCACGCAAACAAUAUACCACCACAAGUAAAAUAACAAUAUAACAUGUACAAAAUUUUCUUUUAAUGAUCCCACUCCAAGAUGAUAAGCACCAUGAAACUCCGCAGUAUGGGCAGCCAAAGAACAAAAGCCCCAGCACCAAACCAACAGCCACCAUAAAGCUAAUAACGAUGCAACCAUAUGGAGCACCUGCCAACCAGGUUUGGCCAACAGGCCCAUUUUCAAGCCUGAUCGAGUUCCACAGCUUCAAUUGGCUCUCUCUCUCAUGUUCCCUAUGUCUAACCAUCAAAACUAAUAGGUUUUACACAUUCUCAGUCCCCUGAGAAACUAAAGAUUUACAUGGCACGUAAUGGAUAUGUCUGAGGAGGGUUUUCAGUGAUUAUAUCAUGCACCUUUCUCUCUCCUCAUGUACCACUUGAGGCUAACAAGAUGGCAAACUCACUUCAUAAGGUAUGAGGAGGAUUGGACUUGAUGGAUACUUCAGUUUUUUUUUGAGAGAGAGAUGGAUACUUCAGUUUUAAACUUCUAAGAUGUUAACUCAACGUAAUCCAGUUUUUUAUUUCUAUUACUUGGGCUUACAUUAAGCCCAACUAAAGAUAUCUAGAAAAUGGAUGCCAAGAGUUAACAGAAGUUGAAGCAGUCAGCAUGAGGCGAGGGAAUCACCUGAACUCAUAUUAUUCAUCUUUAGAACGCAGAUAUGGACAUAAAUGUCUCUUAAGAGUGCUUCCAGAGAAAUCGAAGACUAACACAAAGCCAACAUAUUACCAACAUCUUUACUCUUUAGUUAACAACCAAAUAAGAAACAAUAUUAUCAAUAAAUCAAGUAUAUUAUAAUUCAAUGGAAUAAGGAAAUCACAGUCCAUUAAGGGCUGCUGUCCAAUGAAUUGAUGGAAACAAGAAGACAGAGUGACAGACAAGCACUGUCAGGUAUCUCCCAAUCAACUCCCCUUCACAUAAUAUAAUAACAUCAUGCAAAAGUAUUACUGUAAAUGGCACCUAAAACAACAAAACUGGACCCAACUCAAUGUAUCCCACAUCCUACCAAAAUGAAUAUCAAUAAACCAACAAAAACAAAUUUAUACAGUCCUUCUUAUAACCCUAAUUAACGUUAAUAAUCCCAUAAAUAUGCAAUCCUAAAUCCAAACCCCAAAUAAUGACCCUAGAAAGGGCUAAAUGAAAUCCCAAGAAACCCCAGAAGAAUUGUUCUCCUUCCAUUGAAAAAUAAACAUCCAAGAAAAAACCCCUAGGACGGAUCAGUGGCCGCAUAGAAAGACAAAACACAGUAACACCAAGAGGGAACCUUAAUCAAAAGGGCAACGAGAGAAGUACGAAGGAAUUUGGUGGGAAAAAAAUACUGUCAGAUGAUAGAGAUAGUGAGAAACAUAAAACUCAAGUCCUAGAAAGAACGUUCUUUUUCAGAGAAGAAAAACCCUAGAAAGAAAAUCCGAGAGCAUAGAGGACCCAUAAGGACUGCAUGGAUUGCACAUGAUAAACCUUAGAAAUCAGUCAAAAGAGCAAUAAAGGGUAGUAACAUUUUAGAAAAUAUCAGAUACAACAAUGGAAAAAGCAAUUAUAGUUUACAGAAAUGAAAUUGGCGAUUGGAGAGCUGACCUAGGAAAACAAGAUUUCUAGUAUUAGGGCUUUCUCGAUCACAAGCGCAAAAAAGCAGGUCACCUCGAUCUUAGAGAGAUGAGCACGCAGUGCAGAAGUGGCCUUAUAUCUCUUUUCUCGGUCUAGGGUUCCUGAAAUUUUCUCAUCAAGAUGGUGCUUUACCCUUGAAAAGGAUCGCAAUUUACAUUUAUGCCCCCAAAUAGAAGAUAAUUACGAUUUCGUACUCCUACCGGGCCCCGCUGGAGAGGGGUGGCAAUCCGGUUGGGAACCCGCUCACCCGGCAGGUCAAACCGAAAAAGGGCUAGGUCUGUGUCCGGGUCAGGGUCCAGGUCGUGGUCGAACGGACCCAUCCCAACCCAGUAUAGAAUAUUUUAAAAAUAUAUAAAAUAUAAACUAUACUGUGUAUAAAUUAUAUAUUUAAAAAUAGGUGCAGUUUGCAUAAGGAUGCAUUCGUAGGUAUAGAGGUAAGCUACACCUUUAAAUUUUAUCAUGGUAUAUAAUUUUGAUGUAAAACAUUCUUAGGAUUAUCUCAAAAUCUAUUUUUAUAUCUAAUUAUAAAAUUUUAAAUUUUAAAAAUGGUUAAAAUCAAGUAGAUCUAUAAACAUAUUGAAAUCUUGAAAAUGGACGGUAUAGAUAAUAUGUUGUAAAAUGCACUAUUUCUAAGACUUAAAAUCUUUUGAUUUUUCAUAAUCAUACAUCUCGAUGUCGAGAUGAUCAAUCAAAGGGUUUUUCAACAUUAAAACUACCUUUUCCGAUGGAUUUUUUAAGGGCAUCCGUAGCUCUAUAUUAUAAAGUUGCAUCUUUAUAUAAAUUUUUUUGUUUAAAAAUUUCAAGACUCAAGUCUACGUUAGCCAUUCGAGUCUGGGCCCAGGUAAAAAUUAGCCAGGUCAGACCCCUACCCAACCCGGCCUGUUGGAAUUAGGGAUCGGCAACCUUGGUUCCCUUUUUUCUUUAUUUCACUCACAUUUCUUCACCAAUUCUUUGAGCCCUCAUUGAGAUCUAUAUAACUUUUUUUUUUUUUGAUAAAAAACCAAGUAGAAGAGUAUGAGGGAAAAAAGUUAUUCAAAAAAAUUUUACUCGAUUUAUGUUUUCCAAUAAAUACUCAAAUUUUAUAAAAAAUAAUUAUGUAUUUUUAUAGAUAUCAUGCUAGAUGUAGUUGAGACUUUGGUAUGCAGAGUGUUAGUCACGAAUUAGAAUGAUUUUUUGAUAAUUUUAUUGUUGAUUUCUAUAGGUUUCAAUUUUAAUGUGAUUUUUAUAUUUUUUGACACUGUAGAUUGAUUUUUUUGAUAAUUUCAUUGUUGAUCUCAAUAGAUUUCAAUUUUAAUGUAAUUUUUAUAUUUUUUGAUACUGUUUUUCUCAAAUUCUUGAAAAUAGUGCCUAAUAUGUUUGAUUUAUAGCAUUAACGCUAUAUUUUCAUCUUGUUAUUUUCCGAGCUUUUCAAAAUCCUUACACAAUUUAUAAACAAUUUUAAAGUAAAACCAAUAAAUAAAAUAAAGUAAAAUAAAAUAUGUGUGAGGUGGUUCCUUCAGUGGUUACUGCGGUGAACAAGCUCAUAGCAAGUUUAGGGCAAGCUCUUUUCUUCAAGGGGCCUACCGUGUUCAAAACCACAACUCGGGCCAAGUACUGUGGCAGCGAAAAAGUAUUAUUUUUUAAAUAUAAAAAACAGAAAAUAUAGAAAAUAUAUAUUUAAAAUAAGAUUAAACGCACAACACAUGUAGAUGAGAUUAAAAAAAAGUAGUUAUCAAAUAGAUUUUGAAAAAGAUAGAAAAAUAUAAAAAUAAAUAUUCAUGGCCAAAACACUUUCUAAUAUUCGACAAAAUAUAAAAAAAUUAUAAAAAUAAAAUAAAAUAGCACAUCACAGUAAUUUUCCAUUUUUUUAGUUUUUGUUUUCAUAAUUUUUUGAAUUUUUUAAUAUCCUCGAGUGGGACACCCAACUCGAGGACCUCAUGCUGCCUAGGAGGCGAGCCCGAGAAUUCGAAACUCGAAUCGAGUAGUUGAACACGCCCAUUUAUUUAUUUUAUUUUAUUUUUUGAUAAAAUUUAACUUCAUAUAUUUUAAUAUCAUUAUUGUGGAAAGCUCUCUAUACUUCCCCUACUGAAUAGAAGUUAUACGUUUCCCCACAUCUAGCCGUCCAAUUUAGAUCAAGUGAACCAUUAAUCAUUUGAUCUAGAUUUGAUGAUUCUGAGGAUAUUUUUAAAUUUUUUUACAAAUAAUAUGAGUACACAAUUUAGUACAUACUGCCAUCUCUGCACCUAAAAAAAUUAAAGUUAUUUUAAAAAAUAAAUAAAAUAACCAAAAUACCCUUCGAAAUUCUAGGGGUAGUUUAAUCAUUUUAUAUUAUCAGUAAUAGUUUUUAUAGUUUUUACAUGUGCGGGUUCAUGAGAGGAUUAUAUUUUUUAUAGGUGUAGGUUCAUGAGAGGAGUAGACUCUCAAAGUUUGGUCACAAAGUAUUUUCAAAAUACUUUGUAGAAAUAAAAAUAAAAAUAAAACAUUGUAGCGGAGGUGAUUAAGUAGUAUGGGAGAAGGAGAGUGAUGGGGUUUUUAAAAUAAAAUAUGCUUAUAGGCUUUUGUUUCAUGAUUGUUUUAGGUGCGCAGAAAGGAGUUUAAACAAAAUCUGAAAAUGGUCUCCUAUGUAUAAGGUUAAAGUUUUUCUUUGGAUUCUUUUGUAAAGGAGAAGUUUUAUGGUGGACAAUCCGAGGGAAAGGGGAAAAAUUAUGGUUAACAUUUCCUUGUUAUGCAAAAAUCAUUAUGAGAAUGGGGAUUAUUUAUUUUUACAUUGUCAAUUUACAUGUCGACUAUCGAGGUGGGAUUUUCAAAUCGUUGGUUGUCUUUUGAUUUUACCAUAAAAACAUCUAAACAUUUUGUUUCAAGACUAUCAAAAAGGAGAAUUCUAUAGAAUAUUAUGAGAUCGGCAUGGGAAGUAUGGUUAGAAAGGAAUAGAAGAACUUUUAAAAAGAGAGCAUUAAUUUUGAAACAAGUUCAAAACAUGAUUUUACGUAUAGUUUUGUCAUGGUUUUCAAUCACUAGGGAGGGGGACAGAGUAUCUAAGGUUGAUGUAGUCCUCAACUUGAAAAACAUCAUGUGGAAGUCCCCUCCCAUUUCUACACCAAAGGGCAGAAGGAGUUGACAAAUACACAAUGUUAAGCUUAAUUUUGAUGGUAGUUCACUAGGGAACUCUAGCCUAACGAGGAUUACAGGAGUUAUUAGGAAUUCUAUUAGUGUUAAGCCAAACGAGGAUUAGGGUAGUUAUUAGAAAUUCUAUUAGUGUUAUUUUGGUCAGUGUGGUAUUUCUACGGCAAAUAUGGCUAAAUUAAGUGCUUUACUUUUGGGCUUAAGGUUGUAAUAGUUACAUGUGCAGGUUUGUUCAUAUGUAAUUGUAAUGUUUCCUUGAUUCAUUAAUAAAAGUUUAUGACCUUGUCAAAAAAAAAAAAAAUUAUCAGUCAUUUCUCUAGCCUUUGUGCUUCAAAUUGCAUUCCUUUGUGCUUCAAAUUGCAUUUUGAUGACUGCUGAUUAUCUAUGAAGGGCAUUUCUUGGUUUGUUAUAAUUUUAUUGUCUUAGGCAUCAAAUCUCAGUCUCAAGCGUAGGAUUGAAUAUAAUGACAAAUUUUAUACUAACUAAUGUUUCUUGUUAUUCAUUAGUUAUUAGGGUGUUUUUUUUUGACAAAUUAGUUAUUAGGGUGUUUUAGAGUUUUAAAUUGUUUAGAUUAGACUUAGAGUUCAUAUUCUAAACAAUAGAUUGUGUCAAUCUCAAGAAGUAUAUAAAGUUUUAUUGAAAUCGUAAUAGAACUUUCAAGUUCUAGAGCUAUAAAACUCGAUUAGUGGUUGUUGUGCUCACCCUCGUUUGUUUUUUUUAUUCGUCUUCUCUGAAUGCAUCAAACAUGACAAACUCUCAGGAACCGGACUAAUAUGGUCAGGCAAAUCCAAAACUUAAUCCUAAGAAUGAACAGGGGUGGCAAUGGAUAUAUUUAAAUACAUACAUAUUUAAUUUUUAGGUUAGGUCCAGUCGGGUUUGGGUUUGGGUCUGGGUUUGAAUUCGGGUCUCACAUUAUAAUUUCGGGUAAGGUCGGGUCCAAGUCCCAUAAUAGUUUUAGGGUCUGGGUCUAGCUCCAGCCGAACCCGACUUGUUGCCACCACUAAGAAUGAAUUCAACUCACUCUCUCUCAAGAAAACUUGGAACCUCACUUGGUUCUUCUACAACUCCGCCCCAGUAAUAGAAGAAUUGAAAAACCUUGGGAUGCGUUUCUUUGUUUCGCAACUUCCGGAAGCCGCACCUUCCAAUGGGAUUAAAACGAUUUUACAAGCCUGCUAUUUCCAAGGUAACCCAUGGAAAUGAGACUAAAACGUUUUUACAAGCCUGCUAUUUCCAAGGUAACCCAUGGAAAUGGCAGCUUCUGAACUUUGUAGAAGAGGGCAUCUUCUACAAAAACAAACACCCCCUAGACAAAGAGGGAGAAGGCAUGGCCAACUAAACUCAAUCAAUGCCCUCAUAAAUGCAUCAGCCCAUUCCGAACUCACUCUUUAACACCUCAUGUCUAACUCAGCACUAAACCACUUGUCUUAACACUCUUAAGAACAUCUAUUUCACCUCUUUUGUUUUCCUUUUUUUUUUUUCUGACACGGUUAAAAACUUUUAUUGAUAGAAUGCUGAUAAAGCAUGAAAUUACACAUUUGGGAUCAAGACAUUAAAAAUAGACAGAGGAUAAGGAGAUUCCAUGUUUGGCUAAUCGAUCAACUACAUCAUUGACCUCUCGAAAUACAAGGAAAUCUUGAUAGACAUCUCUUUCACACCUCUCAAACUCUGAAACAAUUUAUCCAACUUAAACACAAUCCAUAAAUAUAAACAAUUUAUCCAACUUGAGCACAAUCCAUAAAUAUGGGUUUUGUUCAUAAAGAGGAAAGGAGUGAGGGUCUGCUUGAUAUCGCAGAUAAACUUGGGGGUUCCUUGAGAUUGGGUCGAUGUUUUGAGGGAGAGAUGUUAACCUUCUAAACAACACUACGCAAUGUUUCAAUGGAAAAUGUUUUGAUAGGGCAGUAGCCCUAUUUCAAAUGAAACCCCACAUCAAGACCAGCUAAAAAUUGUAGCUCUGACAUCAAAAAAGCUUCAAAUCUAUCAUCUCAGCCUUGACCAUUAUGGUCAUGAAAAAAAAAUUGAACUUCAAGCCCUAAAAAUAAUUUAUACUGUAACACCAUAUCUAAACCAUCCAUUUCACUCUAAAAAUAAAUAUUCUUAAAUCCACAAGAUUUGUACCAUCUUUUUAGUUUCAAAUUUCAUAAUUGGUAUUAAAAAUUUGUACCAUUUUUUUAGUUAGUAUUGGAAAUAAAUAUUAGAGCCAUCAUGAAAAUUUCUAAUGCCCAAAGUGCUUUCCCGAUGAGGAUUUGAGACAAGCCUUUGUUUUUAUAGAGCCUAAGCCUCAUAGAAAUUGCAUCAAUGCUUGAUACAUACCUAAUGUUACAUGCUUAAGUCCUUUCUCUAAGUAGCCCUUGUAAAAAGUGCUUUCCCGAUGAGGAUUUGAAAUGAGCCUUUGUUUUCAACAGGGUCUAUCCUUUAUACUCAUAAGUAGAGACGUGUCAUCAUAAGAUGCAUAUUCCAAUAUAAAUAUAAAAAUAUAAAUAUAAAAAAAUAUACCAUCCGUGAAACUUUAGUAUCUUCUUUUAUUUUUUAUCUAAUAAACAAUUUGCUUGAAGUGGAUAAUACCUGAAAUAAUUUUGAAAUAAGUUUAGAAUAUGCUUCCAUCCACGGCGAACACUUGGGCUUUUAAAUGUUCUCCCAGUUUUGUUGGACGGCUAGCUUCUUUUUUUAUGUACUUUUUCUUGAUGGGUUUGAACAGACAAAAUCUGUGUUUUAGUGGGACUCAUCCCACAUGUUGAGAAUAAUUGGACAUCAGGUCAAAUAGAUGUGAUUUUAAGAUGCGUUUUUGUAUUUAAUACAUACCUAAUGUUACAUGCUUAACUCAUUUCUAUAAAGUGCCCUUGUAUUAGAUAGAAUGGCGAAAAUAUAAACAAAAAAUACUACAUUUCACAGAUGGUACAUCCCUUUACAUUUACAUUGGAAUAUACAUCUCAAGUUGAGACACCCCUAUUCAUGAGUAAUAAAAAUAAACCCCAAUAGAAUUCAGAGCUCAAAAGGUCCCAUAUCAAAAUCCAGAGCAAAGUCGAUUUGGACAAAUCGAAUAAGGGGAAUCUUGAACUCAAAUUGACAUUGAUCUAAGAUUGCAUCAAAUAUGAUACAAGAAAGUUUUAGGUCACACUAUCCCCCUGGCAAUAUAUUUCUUUUUUCUUUGGCCUCAGAAACAAAUUAUGCGUAAGUAACAAGGUUUCGUUUUAAAUCUUUCCAUAACUGCCCAUGUCAAGGCUGAAACACAGAAGGAAAAGGAUACAAGUACCAUGUACAAUCAAAAGUAAGCUAUGGAAAGCCUGUAGAGUAUAUACCACACACACAGGGCCAUCGACUGUUAGAGAUGAACUGCUGUUUGAAUACCACCCAGGCGAGGAACCGUACUCAUCUUGAUGUCAAUUAAUGGCCCUUUCUGUAUGGCAUACCAUGAAUACUAUAUGUAUAGGAUACUUUCCCCUCAAAAAACUACCCUGAUCAUUUAGUAACAAAGAUAUUAAGUCUAGUUCCUGGUCACAUAGUGACAAACCUGACGUUUUUUCUACUUUUUCCCUUGCUUUUUUCCUGUUGGGUGCGCGCAAUCAAUUAAUGCACACAAAUUUAAUCGAAGGAUAAAGGAAGUAAAGAAAAUAAGCAAAUGAAAAGCAUGGAGUUUGAUUUGAUGCAAGACAUACACAUGAGACAGUGGGACUCCAUUGGAGCACCUAUCAAGGGUCUGCAUGCCCAGCUACUUCUUCCUCUUCGCUCGACUCCCCAUCGUCACCUUCGCUUAUUUCCUCAUCACUGCUCUCCUCAGCAGCAUUGGAGAUGUUCUCUCUCUUAGCAUAACGUUCGCAAUACUCUGAUAAUUUCCACCAAAAAGAACAGUAAGACACGAAAAUUGUUCUUCUAUGUCCCAAAAGGACAUAUGCAACAUGAAUUCCAUUCCCCUUGUUCCAAAUCGAGACAAAGGGAGGGGCGCCAGUCUCUAGCACUUCACACCUCUAAUAUUUCCGUAUGGAAAAAGUGGGCGAUCAUCCUCCAGUUUUAAUACAUUUAUCCAGAUUUUGUUUAAUUAUGGACAAUGGAAAUGACUGACACAUCUAAUUUUCUAUCAUUAACAUGCAACAUGAGCGACAUCUCCCUUCUAUCAACCUAUGGGAUUGAAGAGGCCAGAUAACUAAUUUUCAUAAACCUCAGAAGUUUCUUGCUAUUAUAUAAUAUUCUAAAAGGAAAAAUGUCUUUUGAUAGUAUUUGAAACACCUACCAUGCAACAUAAGAGAGAUCAAAGAUCGAUCAACCCAUGGACAUUACUAUCUAGCAUUUUCAUGUCUCGUGAGAUUUCCAACAAGUACUAGAAAUUGGAAAUGGCUCUACCUUUUUCAGAGUUCAACUUUAAAACUCUUAGCAUGAAACAUAAGAGAGAUUGCUUACCAUCCAUCAACACAAGGAAAUGGAGAGAACACACCACUCUAUAGUUUGUCCACAUAAUUCUUGAUGUAGUGAGGAAACUAGAAAUGGUCGUCUUUCAAUGUGUUGACCGAAGUGUUUAUCAUUAUGCAAAAUAUCCCUCUUCUGCUAACCCACGGAAAUCGAGGGAGAAGACCACUCUAGAUUUGUUAUACCAUCUAUUUGGUUAUUAUAUGUCUUCUCAAAAGAAAUGAAUAUGCAAAUGAAAUCUUCUUACCUUUCACUUUUUGCUCAUAUUGCUGCCUGUCCCUCAUCAUUAAAGAAGCUGCAUCACCAUUCAAUGGAUCUGUGGGAUUUGGGUACAGUAAUAGCUGUGGCAGGAAUACUUCAAAUACAUUCAGAAGAUCUGUAAACACAUAAUGAACACCAUGAUGAAGAUAUAACUGCUACUAUCUGGGGCUUGUGUGUGCGUGCGUGCGCGCAUGCACGUGAGAGAGAGAGAGAGAGGAAAACACGAUUUUGCGGAAGACAUGUGUCAAUGCAAUGUUCUAAAGUUUACCGAACAUUGGGCUCCAGGUUUGAUUGAUGACGUCCAGGCAUACAGAACCAGAUCUGUAAUCCACAUAAGAAAAGAGUGACUACUAGCAAAAACAGAGAGCCAAUUAUUGGGGCAAAAAGAAAAAAAAAUGUCACUUUGGAAAAGUAACAUCACCAAACAUAAAAUCAGCCAACCACUUCAACUAAUGAAUUUCAGAAGAAUUUGGAAUGUUAACCAUCUUUCCAAAUAAAUAAGUGGACAUCAACUAAAUUAUUGGGUGGAUGGUACAGCCAUACAAAAUACUCUUGGCACUGGUUGUGUGAACUGCCAUUUUCAAAAUAAUAAAGGGAGUUUUGACCAUUUAUAGAAGUGCAUCUGCUUACUUUUGAAAUACAUAGUUUUAUCAGUUUAGUGAAAUAGAAAAGUUCGAUUCUUUUGACAAAAGGUGCUCAUUAUCGGUUAUCAACAGAAAAUAUAGAAAAAUCAAUCAUAAGAAAACAAGAAAGAGGUAUCAUCAUAAAGUUUCCCAUGCAUCCUCCAGAAAGAAUUUAAGUGGAGCUCACAGUUCAUCGACAUUGGGGUGAAAAAUCUUGUUCAGGAAACCAAUGGAUGGAGACUUGUAAGGGUAUGCAUCAGGCAACUCAACUCGAACCUUCCAUACUCCACCUUCAUAAAGGCCUGAAAGAACCAUAAUUCAUGAAUCUAGUGCACAUAGAAUCCAAGUAUUUGAGAGCCUGAAAGAUAUUUCCUCCAAAUUGGAAAAGUUAAGCACACAUCUCUAUGUACGGAAACCUAUAAAAGAUGUCAUCUUUCACUUUGUAAUCUUCUAUCACAUAAUAAGUCCUCAUGCCUUAGAAUAACACAACUACCAGCAAAUACCGUGAGGCUGAGGGAUAGUCAAUAGAAUAUCAUAUAAAACAUGCAUUUUCAAAGAAGGAACAGUGGUUCAAACUUCAAAGCCUCCAUUUCGAAAACUUGUGUGAUAUCUACACUUGAAGUUAGCCCUNNNNNNNNNNNNNNNNNNNNNNNNNNNNNNNNNNNNNNNNNNNNNNNNNNNNNNNNNNNNNNNNNNNNNNNNNNNNNNNNNNNNNNNNNNNNNNNNNNNNNNNNNNNNNNNNNNNNNNNNNNNNNNNNNNNNNNNNNNNNNNNNNNNNNNNNNNNNNNNNNNNNNNNNNNNNNNNUCUACAGCUACAGAUGCAUAUGUAUGCCAACUGCACCCAUUAACUAAACCAACAGAAAACUUAACACAUGGUCACAUUACCACAUGACCAUAUAAGCAUCCACUGCUUAUCUCUUCCCUAAUUAGGUUGAUCAUUUUUUUAGUGGUUCUCUUAUCAGGUCGGUCAUCAUUUUUUUUAUUUGAUAAAUAGGAGUAUUUGAAGUAAAAUUGGAGAUGGAUUGUGAUGUAUGUACUGUGCAUUAACCUUAAAGUUAGUGGUGUGGACUCAAUAACCUUUUGGGCAUGAGUAACCACAAAAAAUCAGAGAAUAAAGGAAAAAGACUAAAUUAUCCUUAUAGGAUAUAGGCAGAUAUAUAUUACAGGAAAAAAACACAUGUAAACUACAAAUUACAACUGUCCAUUCAUUAUAACUAUAACACUGCAUCACUGCCCCUUAAGUUGAUGCUCGAUCAACCGUCUCCUACAACUUCAUCAAUAUAUAGCCAAUCCGCUCUUGCCAAUAGGCUUGGUAAAAAUACAAAGGAUCUGCAUGCUAUUACAAAUACAUCAUUUCCACAGUAUUGUGAUAGGGUUAUGACUGCCCAUCAAUGUGUUGGACAUUGAUUGGCAAAAGUCAACUGUAAACUUGGAAUGAAGACAAGUUUGGUGGGACGCACUUCCCCACAUCACUGUCCAACCAAUUGAAAUGAUUAUGAUCACUCCCUUUGAUACUGUAGAAAUGAUCAUACGAGCCAUACCAUUUCUUCCAAACUACAAAUUGAAACUGUUCCUGCAAUACGACUAUAACCCCUUAUGUUGAUGGAUGAAUAUCAGUGGUGCCCAGAUAUACCCAAAUGUCCCCUUGUCAACAAGCUCAGUAAAGAUGUUUGCUGGCUAAUCUUCCCAUCUUCACUAAAUGACAAGGAAAGAAAAAGAGAAACAAUAGUAAUACUUGCAAUAGGAAGUCAUAAACUUAAGGAGUAAAGAGCUCACGGAAGCUAUAAAGGUCACAUUGUGCCUUGAACUUGGACGGUUAUAGAGAAAGGGUGCCUUACAACAAUGGACCCAUGGAUGCUGGACUAAACUCAUAACCAACUUAAGUCACUCAUAAACAUUUAUAGGAAAUAAAAAUGAGAUGUUAAAAUCAAGGGUAAUAAUUUUAGCCUUUACCAAUUAAUUGGGGUCGGCUUCUUAAUACCAUAAAUCAAGGGUAAUAUUUAUACAUUAUGAAUUAAAAGACUCAAAUUCGUUGAUGAUCAACAGUAUUGUAGAAAUAUUCCUAAGGAAGUGUUUG